GGUAUAUUGGAUUAUCUUCCAUCUUCUGUUUUCUUUUAUUAAUUUAAUUUCUCAACUUCGUGUUCAUGUUGUGUGUAAUAAUUUGUUGCUACUUUUUAUGUUGUUUUCUUUAAGAUUAUUUCGUGUUGAUUACAAACAUGAACCAGAAAAGUGGAUAGAUAUUGUCUCUUGGGUUGAAGCCAAAGAAGGAAGUUAUUAUAUAUACAUAUUUACACACACAGAAAAAAUCAAAGAAGGAAGUUAGAAUUAUAUAUAUAUAGCUAGAGAGGCUCAUUUCUUGUAUGUUUCUGUUGAAUCAUCUCUUUUGUCUCCUUUUUUUAACAGUAUAUGUCUGUAUGUAUCUCUAUAUACAUGGAUCUGAAAAUAGUUUGUCGAUUUCUAACUGAUUUUGCCUCUUCUUAUUUUUUUUUUCUUUAAGGUUUUUUUUUUUUUGUUGAUGAUGAACAAAGACAUGUUACUUCAUCAGCAUCACCAACCACAACAAGUACAACAUCAACAAGACGAGAAUAUGUCGAAUCUAACAUCAGCUUCUGGGGAUCAAGCAAGUGUCUCUUCAGGAAACAUAACCGAAGCAAGUGGUUCUAAUUAUUUCCCUCAUCAUCAGCAACUUCAAGAACAGCAACAGCAGUUCUUUGUUCCAGAUUCGCAGCCUCAAAAGAAGAGGAGAAACCAACCAGGGAAUCCAGGUUCGUGUGAAAAAGAAAAGAAAAAAUAAUACAAUUUUUUCAUGGUUUUGGACUGAUUCAUUAUUCCAAUUAUUUGAUACAGUCAUCAUCUUGGAAAUUAUGGGUCUUCUCCUAAAAAUAAUAUUCUUUUUACCCUUUUUGUUCUCUUUAUCAUCUCUAUUCUAAACAAAGAAAAAUAAAACCAAAACUCAGAUUAAAAUGAAAAAACCACAACUUUUUUAGUAAAUUUUUGGCCGUGGUUGAUAUAGUUUUGUUUAUUAUAAUUACUAUUAACAAACACCAAGAUGACAAUUUAAAAACAAAACUGUAACUUUAGUAGUUUUUCUUGAGUUUACUGACAAAGGUUCAAUAUUAUUUUUUUCAGACCCAGACUCAGAAGUGAUAGCUUUAUCACCAAAAACACUAAUGGCAACAAACAGAUUCGUGUGUGAGAUCUGCAACAAAGGUUUCCAAAGAGACCAGAAUCUACAGCUUCAUAGAAGAGGUCACAAUCUGCCAUGGAAGCUGAAACAAAGAUCCAACAAAGAAGUGAUAAGGAAGAAAGUGUAUGUAUGUCCAGAAGCAAGUUGUGUCCACCAUGAUCCAUCUAGAGCUCUCGGUGACUUAACCGGAAUCAAGAAGCACUUCUGCAGAAAACAUGGAGAGAAGAAGUGGAAAUGUGAUAAGUGUUCAAAGAAAUAUGCUGUUCAUUCAGAUUGCAAGGCUCAUUCUAAGACUUGUGGCACCAAAGAAUACAGAUGUGACUGUGGCACUCUCUUUUCUAGGUAACCCUCAUCUCCAAAAUUAAACUCUUUUUUUUUUGUCAUUUAUUUCUGUUUAUUAAUUGAUUUUAAGAAUAUAGUAAUUACAUUAAUCGAUAUUGAUGAUGAAUAUGAGAUAUAUGUUCUGGUGUUGUAAGAAUUGGAGGGACACAUGGUACAAACUUUUAUUUGUUGUGUUAUGAGUAAUUUCAUUUAAUUUGAAAGAGGACAAAUAUGGUAGCUCAAAAGAAUCUUCAUUUAUAAUAUGGAACUAGUUCAGGGUACUUUCUUCAUUUCUUUUUAUUUCUCAUAAAAAAGUUGUUAUGGGUUAUUUUUUGCCUUGCAUUAAUCAUUCAUCUUAUAAUACACAUGUGAUUGCUACAUGCUUUAGAUGAUGGACCACAUGACUUUUAUAGCUUCUCUUAGUGUGUAAAAAGAGACUUUUAUUCUCAUUGAUUAACAUGUUAUUGAUCAUUUCAUGGAUUUUUAUUUUAUUUUUUUCUGUGUGGUAAAUGAACAGGAGGGAUAGUUUCAUAACUCAUAGAGCAUUUUGUGAAGCAUUGGCUGAAGAGACUGCAAGAGAAGUAGUAAUACCACAAAACCAAAAUAAUCAACCAAACCCUCUUUUGAUUCAUCAAUCUUCUUCUCAUCCUCAUCCUCAUCAUCAUCAAACACAACCAAACAUAAACGUCUCUUCUUCUUCAUCCUCCUCCCACAACCACAACAUCAUCAAUAGCCUUCACUUCGACACCAACAAUGGUACUAAUAAUAGCAACAGCAGCAACAACCAUCUCCAUACAUUUCCCAUGAAGAAAGAGCAACAAAGUAAUGACCAUAUCAUGAAUUACCACCAUAGUAUCCCUCCUUGGCUUGCUCCUCAGCCACACGAUCUCACAUCUUCAAACCCUAACCCUAGUAAUGGUGGAGGAGGAGGAAGUUUGUUCUCUCUGGCUUCUCCGGCUAUGUCAGCCACCGCAUUGCUCCAGAAAGCAGCCCAAAUGGGUUCUACAAAGACACCUCCUUUACCACCAACCACGGACUACGAAAGGUCAACUCGUAAUAACAACCUCACGACCACAAUGGCGGCGAUGAUGACGUCACCAUCUGGAUUCAUCAGCUCCAACAACAACAAUCAAGUUUUGUUUCAAGACUACAACGCAUCCGGGUUUGAUCAUCACGGCGGAGAAGAAGCAUUCGACGAUACAUUCGGCGGGUUCUUGAGAACAAGCGAAGCUACAACCGCCGCAGGAUCAGAGAAGAGUAAAAGCGGUGGAGGAGAAGGUUUGACGAGAGAUUUCUUGGGGCUAAGACCGUUAAUGUCUCAUAACGAGAUUCUAAGUUUUGCUGGUCUUGGAAAUUGCAUUAAUAGCUCUGCUUCAGAUCAGCUUCAUCCCAAGCCUUGGCAGGGUUAGUUAGUUUUUUUGCUCAUAAUAUUUUUAAAAUGAAUCUAUCUAAAUUUUUAAUAUGUGUAUAUAUUUAUAUAUGUAGUUUUGCAUAUCUAUAAUCUUUCUCUUGUUUUGUUCUUCGUUUUAUAAAUUUUAUAUGUUGAAUGCUCACCAAAGGAGAAUCAAAAAUUAUACAGAAAUUGUUACGUUUCGUCUUUUUCAUAUUGCCUUUUUUUUUUUUUUUGGGUUAUAAGUUUAUAACUUAAAAGGAGAAAAAAAAAAACAAAAGCAAGCUCAUGAUUUGUGGUCAACUGAUCAUGAUAAUUGGUCAACUCAAAAUUAAUAUUCUUGGUUAUAUGAUAUCACGGGAAAGAUUGGCACUAGCUAGGUAGGUCAGGAGGCAUUUCAAUCGAUUAUCAUAAAUCGUAUCUACUUUCGUUUUCCUACAUACAUAAACUGCGCAGCUCCAUAUAACAAAUUAACAAUACUUAUCAUUUAUUAAUUAUUACAUAGAUGUGUAUGAGUGUAUCAAUAUGUUGAUUUAAAACUACAUCAACUAUAUAUAUACCAUUAAUCUUAUCUUUUUAGAAUAUCCAAUUAUUGACUUAUUGUCAUUAGUUCGUAAUUUUAUUAAUUAGGUUCUUUCUUUUUUUGGGAUGAAAUAAGAGUAUCUGAGACUUUAGUUUUUAAUCCAAGUCAAACACUUUUCUUUUCUUUCUAAACUAAAAAAAGCCAAGAUUUUUAGACUCAAAGUCCUUCGUUUGUAUUUUACUUAUGAUCAUUUACAAAUGAAUGAUUAGGUAAUCGAAACGUAAAAGAAAAAGAAAAAACAAACGAAAAAUGGAAAGAGAAGAAAUAAUGUAAUAUAAGAAAAUGACUAUGAAAUGUGGCAUAUGAAAAGCAGAGGAGGAAAUGCAUUGGAUUCGAUCUAAGGGUGACUCAUCGUUUGCUUAUAAACCUAUUUCGAAAAUUGUUUUUUCUUAUUGGAUCUCAUCUCAUGCAGGCACACAAGUGGGAUCCAAAAGAUAGGGACUCAUCACGUUUUGCUUGGUGGCAUGUAUAUAAAUAAUAUUUAUACAAAUCUAUUUAUCAGACAUGGACACAACUUUAUAAUUUGCUAAUGUUGAUUACACAAGUUUGCAGCUCUAAAUCAAUUGAUAAUUGAAAACUUUAAACUAUUAUGAUAUAGAAUCUUUCCCGGGAUCAUCUAAAAUUCAUUUUCAACAAAAUGAUUAGUUUUUUUUUAAUGCUCCAGUUGAUCAUAUAUAAAGUUUCUAUAUCUGGCUACAUGGUUUAUUCUAUUAUUUGUAUGGUUUUUUUUUUUUUUUUUUUUUUUUUUUUUUUUUUCGUGGUAGUCGAUCGCUAAAGAAUUGUAAUUUUCACAUGCAAUAAAGUGUGGAAAAUGAUUGAAAUAAAUGAAGAUGUCUUCUUGUUUUUCGACCAGGCGGAUGUGACAUCAAUUUUCUGGUUUUCUAUGGGUGUAAAUGGUAACCGAAGAAUCUGGUUGAAUCUGGCUGAAUUGCUGAAUCUAGCUGAAUAUAUUUGUGUUUUUCUGCGGAAUCUGGCUGAAUAAUUUAAACUUUAAAUGGUAACCGCUGAAUCUGGCUGAAUUCCUUUUUUUAAUAACUAAUCAAAUAAAUAUUUAAAAAUAAUUAGAAAAUUCUGAAUUUACUUUUGCAGACUCUUCUCUGCCUAAUUGGACAACCCAUCAAGGAGGUAUUUAUUAAUUAAUUUGUGAAUGACAAAAAAAAAGUAAUUAGAAAAUUGUUUCACCGAAACCAAACUGAAACCGACGAAAUAAUCGAAUAGAUCUUAAACUUCAUUACCGAAAAAACCGGAACCAAAAUAUUUUGGAUACUUAAAUGAAACCAAAGAACAAUUAUAUAUCCAAAAUAUUAGUUACUUUUAUACCGAAUAAUAAAAAAAAUUCCAAAUAAUAAAACCUGAACCGGAAUCAAAUGGACACGAACCAUAAUAACCAAAAAAAAACUCAAAAAUAUUUGUAAAGUUUUUGGUUCCUAAUCCGUUCUUGAUUCAAAAAACCGAAAUACCUGAAAUUGAACCGAGCCUGAACCAAAAUUUUAAAAUAACCGUAUGGAUACUAAACUCGAUAAAUAAAUUACCCGAAACCAAAAAUUAUAGAACCGACACCGAGCUAAAGACCCAAACAUCCAAAAAUUAUAGAACCGACACCGAGCUAAAGACCCAAACAUCCAAGAUUAUUCGCUAUUAUCCACAGUGAAAUCAUAAUAUCAAAAAAUAUUAAAAUUAUUAACUUCAAAAUACAUUAUUCAAAAAUACAUAUCACAUAACAAAAUUCACAAAUGAAAUGCAUCUGUUGAAAGUUUGAUUAAUUUAAUAAAUAAAAGAAUAAAGUAGGACCAUUAUGACAGAACAUAAAAAAUUCUACAAUAAGUCUAUAGAUACAAAUGAUGUAACAUUUAUAUAUUCCACAGGAAUUCCUCAACGAUUCCACAUAAAAGAUGUUACCAUUUACAGUCUAUAGCUAAAGAAAUAUUUAUGCAUUUGUCAUAUACUGUAGUAUAUAAAUAAUUAUUAUAACUUGAUUUUUUUUUUUUUGAACACUAUUACAACUUGAUUAAAAUGGAAGAAUUACAAGUUUACAACAAUAAUGAAAAGACCAUAAAAUGUUCAUUGGGACACAUGAUAAAAAAAAAGGGAAAAAAAAGAUGGGUUAUACUCUAAAAAGAGAGAGGAAUCUAACGAGUUCAACUUAGAGUUUAUAAUUAGCGUAUUAUCACAAAUGGUUGGUUUUGUUAUAACUUUUACAAAAGCUUAAUUUCUACUUCAGAAACUUGCAAAAAAAAAAAAAAAAAGAGGAAAGAAGAAAUUGAAUUGUAAGAGAAUAAACGAGUAUCUUGAUUCUUGAGAGGUGUAAUGUCAAUUCAUAUAACCACGUCUGCAAAAAACGGAAUAAUGACAUCUUUUACAUUCAUUUUUAGGAAUUUUAGCAGAAUAAUCAUAUACCAUCAUUUUUACGUCUAAAAAUUUACGGAUGUAAAAGGUGUCAACGACAGAGGACCCAUGAAUUUGUCAAUAUCAUGAUGAUUUUGGCAUUUGUAAGGUUUGCUUUUUGUCUGAUUUUAAUGAAGUGAUCCCACAAUCACUAUUGAGUAUUUUUUACUUUUUUUUUUUUUUUUUUUUUUCUUGCAUCUCAAAGACAAUGACUUUUACAAAACCUUUUUUUUGUUUGUUCAAAUACAAAAACCUUAUGCUAUACAAUAAUGCUUGUAAAAGUUCUAAAACUUUGUAACCAUCCAAUGUUACACAUACGAAAAACUGGAACUUUAUUACAUUCUACGAUAUUACAUUGCAAAGGAACAAGCGACUGCACUGAAUUAAUAAUUUAAUAUCUAUUGCUUAGUUGACUCCAUUUUCUACAAAAUUAACGCCAUAGUCUGCAUGUACGUGAGCUUAUGGGGAGACAACAAUUUACGCAUUAAAAAAAAACUGUUAAAUGCUAUCAUUUUAUGAAUUCCCUAGCCUACAAGUUUAGCAGUGGGAAAGAUUAUCAUUUUUGGUUCGAAAAAUACACUACUUAAUUAUGGCCAAUUAAUAUCACAUAUUGGUCAGCAAAGACCUCACGCCAAUUGGGACUUGAUGAUCAAGAUGGCUAGAUUUUCAGAGGUAUUCGAACCCACGUACGUGCUGCAGAGAUCCUUCUAUCAGAUUAUGGCAUUUCGUUCAAAAUGGGUUGUCUAUCAAUGGGUUGACCUAGUUUGUCCAAAGUUGGUUAGUCCUUCCAAUGGGUUCGACAUGGCCAUUGAAUUAGACCAAAAAAUAUAAGCCAGUUUUGGUCAUUUUAACGGCCCACUUUUGUAAACAUGGAAAGUCUGAUUUACAAGAAUUUGUUACAAUAAAUUAGGAUACUCUAAAAUACAAUCUAAGAUACGGAAUCCUAUCCUAUCAAUCAUUUCCUUUAAUUUUUCUUUAGUAUUUAAUAUGAAAUUUGAAAAGGUUUCUUUGAGAUUUGAUUUGAGAAUAUUCUUAAAUAGUAACCAACAUUAUUUGCCUAUUUAAAAUCUUAAAACCCUAUUGCGGCUUUUCACAUUACACCUAAAAGAAAAAGAAAAACUCCAUUGCAGUUUUGGUUUUUGAAAUUUAGAAGAAUGCCGACGAUGCCUAAUCUUCCGCUAGAGGUUUUGGAAGAGAAGAUUCUCUCUAGGGCUCCGGUUACAUUUCUGAGGGCAAUGCGAUCUACUUGCAAAAAGUGGAACAAUUUCUCAAAAGAGAAGAUUAUUCCCGAAGCUGCAAGGAAGCAGCAAGGUUUAAUGUUGAUCAAAAACAACAUCUGUUCCUUGAGUUUCAGUUUCCAAGGAAUCCACAAGGAUGACUUUGUCGUUCCGUCGAUAAAUCAGGUAAAUAUUCCUGACCACAUCAAGGUAGAUAAAAUCUUUCACUGUGACGGCAUAUUAUUAUGUGUUAUAGAGAAAAACUCUAGCCUUGUAGUAUGGAAUCCCUAUUUAGGGCAAACGAGGAGAAUCAAAGUCAGUAAUGAUCCCGACAGGAAUGAAAAGUAUAGGAAAUGUGAUAUGUAUGCUCUUGGUUACGACAACAACAACCGUAACCACAAAAUCUUGAGGAUUAUGAAAGAUUUUAGGCACAGUGACGGUUUAGGAUACGAAAUCUACAGAUUCGCAUCAAAUUCAUGGAGUUUGCUUGAUGAGGAAGUGAUGAAACCCGACUGGAAUGUAUGGUCUGCUCAACGAAGCUCCGUGUCUUUGAAGGGAAAUACUUAUUUCUUUCUUCAAGGGAAUGAUUAUGGGAAUGAAGAGGACGAAGAUGCCGAAGAGUACGAAGAUGACGACAUAGUGCCGAAAGAUAAUUUUUUGCUCUGUUUCGAUUAUACAACAGAGAGCUUUGGUCCGCGUCUACUUCUACCGUUUAACCCUCAUGUUGAAGAGACCGUGGCUUUAUCAUGUGUUGGAAAAGAGCGGCUCGCUAUGCUAUAUCAAAGCUCCAAGACAUCUGAGUCGAUAGAGAUAUGGGUAACAGAUAAGAUUGAUCCAAAAGCGGUGUCGUGGAGCAAGUUUCUGAAAGUGGAUAUCACACCACUCACUGGUUUUCCGGUUGACAUUUACGCUGAUAGUUUCUUCAUUGACGAGGAGAAGAAAGUUGCUGCGGUUGUCGAUGUACAUUAUUGCUACCAAAAAGCUCACAUCAUUGGAGAAGAUGGAUACCUGAAAUGUGUGAAUAUGGGAAGAGCUCCGGAUGUUGGAAAUGGUCAGCCACUUGUGUUCUCUUCUUAUGUUCCAAGUUUGGUGAAAGUGCCUAUCAAGCAACCAAAGGGUAAAAGAAAAGGUAGAGAUCUAAUAAAACCAAAAGCAAAACGAACAAAAAAGGAAGAAAGAUAAAGAUUAUUGGUUAAUUCCAUUUGCAAUGCUUUAUUUUGUUUCUUGCAUUCUCUUCUGUUUCCUUCAUUUGAUUUCAUGUCAUUUUAUGAACAAGAAUAUUUUCAUUCGGUUAUUAAUUUGUUUCUGCUAUUUACUAUCUAAUAAAGAAUUCAGUCUUUGCAUGUUUUAGUCUCUUUUCAGUACACCUUGUUCAAUAGCAGACUAAUUAUAUUUUAAACAGUUCGUCAAAUGUUGUUGUCUUUCUCUUUCCAAGAACGAUCCAAAAUGUAUUUGACAUGAUCGUGUCUGUUUUAUAAAAAUGGCACUCAUUCUCUAAACUUUAAGAACAACUCUUUCGAGAAAAAGAGAAGAAAAAUGUUGGAUCAUCAUCGUUGGAGCCGAGACACAUUACGGUGAUGAAGGUAUCUUAAAGGAAUCAUUAAGCCAGCCAUUGGACGAUCACCCCGAAACUCGUCCUCGAAUUUACUUAGCAGAGCUUGAAACCAAGGUUGGUUCAAGUAUGAGACUGAAACUCCUAAUAACUCUUCUUCUGGCUCCCUUUCACGUACACCACAAGGAAUCUUUUUGAGGCUGGCCUUUUGCUCGUUAAAGGUUCUGCUGCUGCUGCUAACUGCUAAGUGUGGCCAAAUAUCUUUUUCGCACUCAAUAGACUUCUCACCAAAGCCAUUUCUACUCUUUUCUUUGUCUGAAGUUUUAAAUUCUGUUUGUAGCUAAUUCUGAAGAUAUGUAUAAAGGAGGAAAAGGUUCAAGUUUUGGGAUUGGUCAUUGUUUGUUGCUUUAUAAAGAGUUAGUUCUGUGAAUUAUUUACAGAUCAAUGAAUGAGUUAAACUUGAUACUUAUGGUCUACAGUCAGACUAAAACAAAGACCAGCAAAGUUCUGUUCUUCAUUAAGUUGUAAUUGGUUCUUAAUGUUGUUCAAUAACAGAACAUAAGUAUCUGUCACUGGUUAAGUUGUUCCUUGAUCACACAGGCCAUUUCUAAGUAAAGAAUAUACAAGUGUCUCUCACGUCACCAUUUCAGGAGACGAAAUUCUUGGAGCUUUUGUUAAAGAAAAAGGAAGAUACAUAGGAUCAAAUCAUAGAUGUUACACUGAUUCUGUUUCUCUCACUGUUACGUGAGCUAUAAGAAUGAUAUAGACAAAUUGUUGAAAGUUGAUGAUCCAUUCACUGUUUCUAUAUCUUAUAUCUUUUUUGUCAAAAGGGUUUUCUGAUAUUUUUUAGUGUGGCCAGAAUCAUCGAUAGAUUUUUUUUUUUUCUAUUCCUACAAUAUAUUUUUUUGGGUCAAGAUAUCUCUACAAUUAUUAACUCGAAUUUUAUAAUCUUUAUCAAUUAAUGAAUGAGUUUAGGUAGGAAUAGGAAAGAGUUUUAAGUGUAUUAUAUAUAGAGAGAAAAGAAGAGUGGACAAUCGUAGAAACUUUUUUUGAAACUUGGAAGAAUGACGACUUUGUCCGAUCUUUCAGUAGAUUUGGUGGGUGAGAUAUUCUCUAGGGUUCCAUUGAUAUCUCUGAGCGCAGUGCGAUAUACUUGUAAAACGUGGAACGCUUUAUCCUGGAACGUUUUAUCCGAAAAUCAUAUUUUUGGUAUAGCAGCAACUAGUAAGCAGUUUCUAGGGUUCGUAAUAGUGGAUUACAAGGUUUGUUCCCUGAGACUUGAUCUCCAAGGAAUCCACAACAACGAUUUCGUUGAUCCAUCUAUAAAGGAAAUACAGAUAUACUUCAUCAACACGAGAUAUCUAAUAUCUUUCACUGCGAUGGCUUAUUGUUAUGUGUCGUCAUAGACGGAAGGAGAAGGAAGCUCAUGGUGUGGAACCCGUAUUUAGGGCAAUUCAGGUGGAUCGAACCAAGAAGCAAAUACCAAAAAUUCCACAGAUUAGACAUGUAUGCUUUCGGUUACGACAACAACAAGAACCGUAACCACAAAAUCUUGAGGAAGUUUUUGGAUGAUGAUGACUACAACGAAAGCAGUCAAAGAAAUAUUCCUUUCAAGUUCGAGAUGUAUUAUUUUAACUCUGAAUCAUGGAGAGUUCUUGAUGUCAAUCCCGACUGUGAUUUACGAAGAGGCGUGUCUUUGAAGGGAAAUACUUAUUCUUAUGCUCGACAAAUAAUAGAGGUUGGAGAUCCAGUUUCAAAUAGUAUUGAUUUUUUACUCUGUUUUGAUUUUAUAGCAGAAAGGUUUGGACCGCGUCUUUCUCUACCGUUCCACUCUUACUAUGAAAAUACUGUGACUCUAUCUUGUGUCAGAGAAGAGCAGCUCGCUGUGUUAUACGAACACUACGAGACAUGUUUGGUCAUAGAGAUUUGGAUAACGACUAAGAUCGAGCCCAAUGUAGUAUCGUGGACCAAGUUCUUCAAAAUGGCAUGGACACCGCUCUCUGAUUUUUUGAGUAACUUUCAUGUUGGGAGCUUCUUUAUUGACGAGGAGAAGAAAAUUUUGGUUUCCAAAUCUCGUAAAUAUAGACAGAACGAAACCUGUGGAUAUGAAACAGUUGACAUCAUUGGACAAGAUGGAGGAUACUUCAAAUCUGUGAAAAUCGGAACAGAUCAUAUCUCGAAACCUGAAAAUUUUGGAUAUUAUUGUGAUCCACUUAUGUUCUCUUCUUAUGUUCCAAGUUUAGUGCAAGUACGACGAAUCAAUCAACUGGGCAAAAGGAAAGAAAGACAUUAUUAAUCAGUUCCAUUAACAAUAAUUUAUUUGUUUCUUCUUGCAUCAUCUCCUUUUAAACAAGAUUACUGAUAGUCAAUUAUGCUUUUGCGAUUUAUCAUCUUAUAAAACUAAGUCGGCUUUUGCAUGUCUUAACCUCUUUUCAAUUGUUCAUGUAAGAUUUCAUGUGGAAGUUCAAAGAGGAGCUGAGAGAAUCAUUUAGCUUCUUUGUUUAUGAUAGAAGCUUUCAUGAUAUGAUGAUAUUUUAUAAUAGUCUUCAUUUCCCUUGAUGCGUUGGUAAUAGUCUUCAUUAACCUCUUUUAACACUCUUAACAACAUUACAUUUUCCAUCAGUUUCAGACUAUAAAACUCCAUAGAAGUAUUUAUAGAACCCUUGGAAAUUAAACUAGAAUGGUCUUUUUAUGUGUUUUUUUUUUAUAAUGAUUUGGUAAAGCAGAACUACAUGGAUGGUAUUUCAUAGUCAUACUCUAUACUCUGUAGACAGACUAGUACAGAUUUUUUACCAUCUGGAAAAAAUGCAUUAAUGCAAUUUCUCUACUUGGAUAAAAUCUCCAUAAUUCACAAGGGCUUGUUUCACUCAAUUUGUUUUCAAAAUCCUACUAUAAAAAAGGUUGUGAAGGAUACGGAUUUUACUCUGCCAUUUAAUUAGAUCAAAGUAUAUAAGCCAGUUUUGGUCAUUUUAACCACUCACUCACCUUUGUAAAUUCCAAAUUGACCGAAAAUUCCAAAUUCCAAAUUGACCACAAAAAAAAUCAAUCAUUUCCUUCUGUAUAAAAACAUUUAUUGCCAAAUUUGAAAAGAUUUCUUUGAGGAAUACCCUUAAAUCGUAAACUAUCACAUUUGUCUACCUAUAUUCACAUUAAACCAAAAAAAAAAAAAAAACCCUAAUUGCAGCCUUGGUUUUUCUGAAGUUUUAGAGAAAUGACGACGACGAUGUCAAAUCUUCCAGAGGUUUUGGUAGAAGAGAUUAUCUCCAGGGUUCCCAUUACAUCUCUUGGAUCAUUCCGAUCAAGCUGUAAAAAAUGGGAGGCUUUAUCGAAAACCCAUCUUUUAGGUGGUAAAGCAGCAGAAGUAACCACAAGGAAGCAGUUACUAGGGUUUAUCCUAGUUGAUGACAAGAUCUGUUCGAUGAAACUCGAUCUACAUGGAAUCACCAAAGACGGCGAUGACUUUGUUGACACAUCAGUGAAUCAAGUAAGUGCACUUGAUCUUGAUGAAUUGUCGAUAUCUCAAAUCUUUCACUGCGACGGCUUAUUGCUAUGCGUCUUCAGCAAGAGGCUCAUGGUGUGUAACAUGUACUUGGGACAAACGAGGUUUAUCAAACCCCGUCGCUUGUUCGAGAGAUUCGAUAAAUCAGGCGUGUAUGCUUUCGGAUAUGAUGAUAGCAGCAAAAACCGUAACCACAAAAUCUUGAGAAACAAGUCUGUUGGUGGUGGUUACGAAAUCUAUAAUUUCAGAUCCGAUUCAUGGAAGGUUCUUAAUGUUGAUCUCGAAGAAGAUACACAGCUUGAUCAACAAGGAAGCUUGUCUUUGAAGGGAAAUGCUUACUUUUUGGUGACAAAGACAUUUGAAGAGACACUUGAAGUAGGAGAAGACUUAGAAGAAGCGAUGGUAUCAGAAGAGACUGAAGAAUUUUUACUCUGUUUUGACUUCACAACAGAGAGAUUUGGACAGCUUCUGUCUCUGCCGUUUCACUCUGAAGUUGAUGAUGACGGAGUUCGAGAAGACAAUGUGGUUUUAUCUUGUGUUAGAGAUGAGCAGCUUGCCGUGUUACAUCAAAGUGACACGACAAUAGGUAUUUGGAUUUCCACUGAGAUCGAGCCCAAUGCGGUGUCGUGGAGAGAGUUUUUGGAAGUGGACUUGACGACGGUUGAUGGUUUUCCGGAUGACUUCAAAGCUGGGAGCUUCUUCGUUGACGAGGAGAAGCAAGUCGCCGUAGUUUUUGAUCAAGAGACCGAGGCCGGUGGCAACCACACAGCUUGCAUCAUUGGAAAAGAUGGAUACUUCAACUCUGUGAAUGUUGGAGAUAUUCCGCCCCCAUACUUCACUUCUUAUGUUCCAAGCUUAGUGUCAUUGCAAAUCAAGAAGAAGGGCAAAAGAAAAGCAAGAGAUUAUUAGAUGGUUUCAUUUGCAAUACUUUAUUUGUUUCUAUCACCCAUUUGUUUCAGUCAUUUACUUUCUUCUCCUUUUGAACAAGAGUACUAAAGAAUUCUGUUUUUGCAUGUUCCAUCUUCUUUCUGAUUUCUGCCUCAUUACUUACUUGUUUCUGUGAUCAUUCAAUAAUGUUUAAGGCGAUGCAAUAAGUUAGUAAUUAGUCUACUUCAUUUUGUUGUUAUAAAUUUGGGAUAUUUGUUGCUGUAAACAUCUUGAUGCGUUUCCUGUUACUUAACUACUUUCUUGCCACAGUGAAUUUAGGGUUGGAAAAUGUUGAAACUAAAUUACUUAUUUUGUCUUCAGAGGCUAAAGUAGAAGAGGGAGGGAGAGAGUUAGAAGAUGGAAAAUAGUGCAUUAAUUGUCUACUUCACAGUAAAAUAACACUGCAGAUAACAAUUUACACAAGCCUUUUAUUUGGAAGCUAAGACAAACAUAAAGAAGCUAGCUACUUCCACAAUGAACAAAAGGAAACUGCCUCUCCUUUCCACAUUAAUCCAGCAUAGGUAUCUCCAUCUUCCAUUCUUACUUCCCAGUUGUUGUCAUACUUUCUCAGUAAAGAUUUGGCUCCAUCAAUUGCAUCUUCUCCAAAUGCUUCUGCGGCAAAACCAGCUUCUCUCAUCCUUUCAUACCAUUUAUCUUUUCCUUCAUUCAUCUCUCCUGUAUUCAUCAACACCUUUGUUGCCUCUCCUUCCAUUAGUUUUCUCUCUUCACUAUUCUCUUCUUUAAAUCCUGAGCUUGUUGAAUCCAGAAACUUCCAUAGAUACUCAAGUUUCUUCGAGAAUCCUGCUGCAAAGUCCCCACUGGCACUACAUUCUCCAUUGUUCUCACAAAGGACCACUCCUUUUGGCCUCAAACUUCUCAGUGCUUUCAAAGUCUCGCCUCUCUCAUCAGGGAUGCUAUGCUUCAGGGGAUGCAGCCUAAACUGAACACAGACUAUUAAGGUCUCGUGAGGUGAGGUAUCAAUGAGCUGGAACUUGUCAAGUACACUAAUCUGAAGGUUGAUCUUGAGAGACCGAGCAAAGCCAAGGAGUUGAGAACCAUAAUUGUAAGCUGGUGGACCAACAGAGAAAGGUAUGUCUGCGGUUAGAUCAGAUACAACGGUUAUUCGAACACAAGGAGGAGGUCCUUCUGGUCUGCAGCUCAGAGCCUCCAACAAAGUGGGCCAUUGCAUACCGUGAGAAACACCAAUAUCAAGAAUAUGAAGAUCCUUUUUAUAUAUGGGAUCCUGUGCUAGAAUCUGCAGGAUAGCUGAGUUUGCCAUGUUAUUAGGCAAAGCAAACCAAGGGCUUACCUCGUAGAACUUAAGCAGAGUCUUUUGAAACAUCUUCACUUCUGCUGAAGCAAAAGUAAAAACAGGCCAAAAAGAUGAUGACACAGAGGAUGAUGAGGAAAGAUGAUGUUGCAAAGCCCGAAGACCAAAAGCUGCAAGCCGACGAUUAGCAUCGCCAGAAGAAGAGGCCAGUUCAGAGAGAACACAAAGGUAAUGUUGAACCCUUGAUGAGUUACUUGCCGUAAUGGCCAAGGCACAAGGGUUAAGCAAUUUCUCUGCCCAUCUACCUUCCUUGUUACCAUCUUUGCUGCUCUUCUCACUAGACUUGAUUGCUUUUCUCUUGCUCCUUGCCGAUUUUUUCACCUGUUGUGCCUCGAUAACCCCGUCGCGGCUCCUUUUCCUGGACUGAUCAUUUUGUUGCUGAAGUUCAGGUGGAGGAUCCAAAUCAAUGGAUGGAGCUUCUGUUACCACUUCCAGGUUAGUUGCUUCAAAACCCACAUAUGCACUAAGAUCUUGACUAUAGCUUUGAAUAAAACCAUGUUCCGGAUCUUGAGUCUGAUCCCAUUCCCACGUUUGAGUCCCAUCAAACUCGUGGAGCAAAUAAGAAUCAUCAAAUCCUGGUAAUGGGGAUAAGGACACAGAAUCCUCAAGCCAGCUUAGGACAUGAUCUAGAGUCUGGUUUGGUGGUUCUGUUUCUUCCAACAACAUUUAACAGAUGAUGAAAAAGGUAUAAUUUGUGACUAGGUGAUAUAGUUUAAGGUAUAAGAUUAACAGUAACAGGAAUAGAAAACAAAUGGAUAUAUGGAGAAUUUCUAGAUGAGAUUCGAAUAUAUAUUGAAAUGGCGUGUGAUCUGUAUAUAUGGGAGUGUGUCAAAGACUAUAUUAAUUAGUAACUACCUUUGGAAAAUGGUUAUAAGACUUGAGAAAAUACCAUUUGAAUAUUACAAUUUGAUUUGCAUUUCAUUAGUCAAUUAGUCUCUUCACUUAUUGCGAUUUGGGACCAUUGAUGUAGGUUAUACUAAACUGAAUAUGUUGCAUAUCAGACAUUAUAUAAUGUUAUAUUUGUUUUUGUUUAAUAUAGAAAAUUUGAGAAAUGAAAGUAUCAAUCUGUACUAUGAUGUUCUCAUUAGUAUUAAACAAAAACAAGGCUUAGAUUGUGGGGACAUAAUAUGACGCAUGCAUAGAAUCUGGUGUUAUCUUCUUUUAAUUUUGUUGGUCUCUAAGAUAAUCUUUUUCAUGGUCUUGCGUUUUUUUCUUCCAAUGAAAACAGUAUUUGUUUGAAUUAUUAUUACCGAUGUUGGCGUAUUCGUUUAGAAUUAUGUAGAAGAAAACGGUUUCCGAAGCCAUAAAAUAUCAAUCAACCAUGCAUGCAUAUUCGUCCCAGUCUCAUACUUUUGUUGAUAUAUUUAUGUUUGUUGAAAUGAAUAUCAACAUGUCCAAAACUAGUGAUUUUUUUUGUUAAUGUGGAAUUAUCUUUCAUCUGAUUGUUGGUCAAAAUCUACCACUGUAUUUGGUCCCAAUCCAUCUCCUUUUAAUUGUAUAGAUAAAGAAGUUAUUACAAAAGAAAACUACAGCUUUAACAUUUUCAACAACAUUACAUUUAACUCCAUAGAACCCUUGAAAAACUAGAAUGGUCUUUGAUGGAGUUUUUUUUGUUUUUUCUCUUAUUGGUUCAGUAAGGAAGAAUUACAUGAAUAAUAGUACUUAUUUAGAAGGUGGUGGUGCCUUGGAAGCAUCUUGCUUUUGAUCUUGCUUAGAUCCUCCACUCACAGCAGCGGUUGCAGCUACGGUCAUAGCUGUAGCAGCUGCACCAAGCUUAACACCUCCAGCUGCUUUCAUUGCAGCCGCGACUUUUGCAAAUAUAGCCACUCCACCUACUAAGAUACCUCUCAAAGCGACUGUGGGUUUCACCGACAUUUUUGUUUAAUCCUGCACAUUUUCAUAUCAAAACUUUGGUCAUAAAGAUGUUACAAAGACAUAAAGGAAAGCAACUUUAUCUUCUGCUCCAAAGAAACUAUGCAAACCGACAUCUAAUUUCACUAUAUGCUAAAUUAUAAGAAUCAAGAAAACUCUGCAUUAGAGAGAAGUAACAUCUAGAUAACAAAAUAUUUACUUCCCAAUACAUAUCAUUGAGAGCUAUGAUGGUUUCACAUGGUUUUUAAGAAAUACACCAAGAAACAUAAUUUUAUAAAACUAUACAACUCUCAAAGAGUUCCAUAAAACAUAAUUUCAUCAAACCAUACAACUCUCAAAGCUAUAUUGAUUUGUUCCAAAUAGCUAUAAGAUGCAUUCGAACAUUUAGCAUUUAAAGAUUACAAGUUUCAGAAGCAAAAAGUCACAAGUUUUCAGAUUAAAUCACAAAUUUUGUCCCCAACCCAAUUGCAACACCAGAUCAAUUAGCCUGAUUUUAAAUCUCAAAUUGGUCCCGAUUUACUAUCCAAGCCGAAUCUCUAACCAAAAUUGCAUUGAAAAAUUUGGAUCUUUUUAUCCAUAUUCAACGAAAUCCAUUCAUUGUUACUUAUCGACCAAAGAAUCUAGAACAUCGGCUAUAACGUUUUCUACCAAUAGUGACACAAAAUCAGAAUAAAAUCCAAAAUCCAACUACGAAACUAACAAUCAUAAGAAAAAGAACGAAAUUAAGAUCGUUUCAGAACCUGAGCAAAGCCUUUAAUCUGAGAGAAACAAAGAGACAACUGUAUAAACAAAAAGAGUAUUUCUUUGAGAUUCAAAUAAAUCAAUUUUCAGUCUAAUAAUGUUUAAAACUUUCGAUUCAGGUUUUGUCGGAAAAACUCACCGUCAAUGCCCUUCUUCGUCUCUUUGCUAUCGGCGACAACUUCUCUCCUUCUCAGAAGAAACUGCUACCGAGUUUGUAACAAACAAUUUAAACGACGCCGUUUCACGAACUCCUCAUAUUAAACACUUUUCUCGUUACGACGUCGUUUUGCCUCUACGUUUUAAAUCCUUUUCCCUACGACGUCGUAUUGAACACUUGACUUCCCAAUUAACAGAAACAGCAUUAUGUUCCCCGUCGCCGGCGGUUCAGACGCCGUCAAUACAAGAUCACAACCGCAUCAGAAGCAGUCUCUACCUUCUUAUUUCCAUCUCUAUCCAGUAAUAUAUCAUUAGCGUUCAACUCUUUUUGAUUAUAUCUGUUCUUCGUUAAUGGCUGUGAUUUUUGCAGUUGGUAGAGAAAUUAUCCGAUGAAAUUGAAACUGGAAGUUUGAUUCACUGGUUCGUUCAAAUAAUCCCAUUUAACUUUUCUUCCUUCUUUGUUUGUUUCUUGGAUCUUGGUUUCGUUUUUAUUUGGGAUUUGCAGGUGAGUGACUACGGUAACAUUUGAAACUCGUCACAUUUUUAGCUCACGAGAAGACAGGUUUGUUGCUUCUUCUGCUUUUGGUGUUUUCACACUAAGUAGUGUGUUUGUGAAGUGAGCUUUGCAUAUACAACAACUUAGUUUUGUUUUGCAUUUUUAUUAGUUUUAAUGUUCUUGUUUUUUAAAGCUUUUUGCCCAUGGGAAUUUAUGGAUCUUGUGUGUUAGACUGUUGAUGGACAGAUACGAAAGCUGGAAGAAUCCGACAAGGCACUCGGACAAAGAAGGUGCAAUCUUGUUCCUAAGUUUGUUUCUUCCAUUUUCUCAUGGAAUUUUGAUGGCCUUAUAGGAAACAUCAACCUUAGUCACUGUUACAUUUUUCUUCUCGAGUUACACGUAUAGCAUUGUGUUUCGAGUUUAUACUGAAUAUCUUGAGCUAUUGAUGCAUCUAGAAACGUUACCAAAAUGUGUUGCAUUUGUUGCUGUUAUGACCAACUUGUAUCGUUCUUGGUUUUUCUGGUUUCAGACUCUUCUACGAUAUGGAGAUUGUCUCACAUCACAAGUCAAAUAAGCCAGAUCGAAGAAGAAAAGAAUUAACAAUGCUAGUGGUUUUUCUUUAAGAAGAUCAUUGGAAGGUUCCAUGUUCGAGUAGGUUGUACGAAAAUCAUUAUGAAUCCCUCAUGCCUUGUAGUUUGUUUUGGAAUCUUAACCCGUAACAUAAACUUCUUGUUAAGCUUCUAGUUUUUGCUUUUGAAGACGAAGAACAAAAAGGAGGUUUAAAAACUGGUAACGCAAGCUCAUCUAACCAUAUACUUUUUUAUCUUCUUACAUCCAUACACAUAAUUUCAUAAGCUAUACAUAGCUAAUUAUUAGUAAAUUUCCAGUCGUCCAUUCUAUUUUUCACCAUUAGGAAGGACACGACCAUAUUCACUUCUAUCACUUUCUAAAUAUAGGACACUACCCCCAUGACUUGAAUUGGUCAAAAUCUCUUUCUCUCUCUCUUGUCUCAUUUUCUCUGUCUUAUAUCAGCUUGUCUCUCCUCCCUCAUUUCUCUCCAUUCCCCUGCAUUUCCUUCCCACCAGGAGAAAACUAAGGAACCGAACUCGCCAAACCCGUCAAACAAAAUAUGCCCUCAGGCAAACCUUCUUCUGUAUUCCCUUUACAUCCCAAACCAACACCAUUAAAACCUUCUAGCAGCAGCACCAGCAACACCAAUAGCAGCACAAACCAAGCCUGCGCCGCCUGCAAAUACCAACGCAGGAAAUGCGCUCCCGAUUGUCUUCUCGCUCCUUAUUUCCCUCACGACCGUCACCGCCAAUUCCUUAACGCGCAUAAGCUCUUUGGAGUCAGCAACAUCACCAAGAUCAUCAAAUCCCUUACCCCUCCUGAGAAAGACGCAGCUAUGCAUACAAUCAUGUUUCAAUCCGAUGCUCGUGCCAGUGAUCCUGUUGAUGGAUGCUAUGGCAUCAUAAGAAAGCUUCAAUACCAGAUCGAAUACACCAGAAACGAAUUGGAGAUUGUUCUUCAGCAAUUGGCUAUGUUCCGUGACCGUGCUCAUCAUCAUCAUCAAGAACCGCAAAUCCAGAUGCAAGAACCAGAGGAUCUCUCAAGUUUUUCGAGUUCUUGUGAUAUAAACAACAACAACUCGAUUCCUUACAAUUACGCUCUGAAUCACAUUCAAGAACCAAAUCAACAACAACAACAAUAUUGUUCUUCCGGUAAUAACUUCAAUGGGUUACAAGAAGACAUGUGGUGUCUUCAACUUCAAGAUUCAUCAACGACAGUGAAUAUGAAGGCUGGUUUCAUUGAUGAAUGUGAAGACGUUAAGCCUGUGGAAGAGGUUUCUAGCGAAAGACACGAGUUCGAGCCUCAUGAAGCUUUCGUUGAACAACGGAAACUCGACUUGCCUCCAGCACAAUUCAUCAUUUCUUCUUAGCUUUAUUCUUCUUCUUCAUUUAUACAGUUUUUUUGUUAAUCAGCUUACAUUUUCUUGAAACGUAGCCUUCGUUUUCUUCUUCUUUUUUUUCUUUCCAUUCGGAGUUUUUGUAUCUUGUUUCAUAGUUUGUCGCAGGAUUAGAAUGAAUAGGCAUGGAAUAUUCAAGAAUUUGGUUGAAUAAAAUAUUUUCAUUCUUAAGGUAUGAAGAUAGGCUAGAACGAAUGUGAAAUAAUAAAAAAGGCCCAUGAGAAUCUGAAAGAAGAGAAGCAGGCCCAUUUAUAUUAAAAAGAACAGUAGUAUCUAUUUCUUAAAUAGGCCCAUUUAAGUUGAAAACAAUCUUGAAAAGUCCCACAUCGCUUAUACGGAAGAAAGAAGCUGCGUUUAUAUACCGUCAGAGGCGAGUAAGCGAUUGUCCCUUCGGGGACAUCCGAUAAAAUUGGAACGAUACAGAGAAGAUUAGCAUGGCCCCUGCGCAAGGAUGACACGCAUAAAUCGAGAAAUGGUCCAAAUUUUUUUUGCUAAAUUUUCCAGAUUGUUUUCUUCUUCUGGGUUUUUUUUUCCCCGUUUUUCUGAAAUCCUGAACCCAAAUUUCGAACGCAUUUGAACGAACUUACUGAAACCUAAAAUUUCACUGGAAAAAAAUCUCAAUAAAAAUCUCAAUAAAAGAUGAGAUAAACCAAUAACUUUGCUUAGAUCUUAAUCACGGCGUUAUACUCUAAUGGCGGCGGAGGGUUCUUAAUAAUGAUGCCAUUUUCUCGAAGCAAGUCCAUAAGAUUUGUGAGAGUGUGAUUCAAUUGGUUCGUUAAUUGAUUACUGGUUAAGUGCCAAUUGGAAGAGAUGAAGAUUGGUUUGAGAAGUUGUCAGAUUUGCAAAAGGAUUAGAAAGACUCCUUCUGGUUUAGAGGGUUUCUUAAUUUCGGUUUUGCAUUUUGUAUAAGCCUCUCUCUUGUUCUUUCUCUGUAUUGCAAAUUUCUCAUUCUUGUAAAAUCUCUGAAGCUGUGUUCUUGAGCUCAAGAGAGAAACGAUUGAUUCUUCAUAGUGGAUUACUGGAUUGAAUCUGGCCCCAGACGUAGAUUCAUCAUACCGAUGAAUUGAACUGGGUAAACAAUUGUGUGUUCUUGCUUAUUACUUUCUGCGUUUGAUAUUCGGAUUGAAAUCUUGGAAAGUUCGUAAGUUUGAGCUGGUUUGUGCUGAGAGUAAGGGUUAUUCGAGUCAUCGGUUUUAACAAGAUUCGUAAUUAACAUUAUUUAAGCUCAAAUUUCGUAAUAUAAUUUUGAAUUCAACAAAAUUCAUAAAAACUUCUCUUCAACAAUAUAAAGAAUCAGACCCACAAAUUUAAAUCGACAACGUUUCUAACUUGGUAGAAAAAAAAUCAUCAAAAAAGAAAGAUUUGAAUGCUUUUUCUAAAUAGAGGUCCAAGAUCACAUGCCCAUGCUGGCCAUAUCAGGGACAUGGUUUGGAGUGUUCUCGUCUGCCUUCACAAGCACUGAGGCUUCUGUUGUUGUCAAAAGCAAAGAAACGCUGCGUUUUCAACACACAUGACAAGGAGUUAGUUUCUUAUUCCCACAGAAGCAAGAAGCAACCAACGGUUUUGAGUUUUAGGACACUCUUUACCUAGCGGCAUCGGUUAAGGCGGUUCUGAUCACCUUGACUGGGUCUAUGAUUCCAGAUUUCACCAUAUCCACAUAUGUACCUAUGGCAACACGAAACAACAACGGUAGACACUUUCAGAGAUUGAUGAGAUUUGUGUUUUGAGAAUGUUCUCAAAGACACUAAGUUUCUAACCUUUGGCAGCAUCGAAACCAAAAUUGCAAUCGUCCUGCUCUAAUAACUUGCCAACCACUAAAGAACCAUCGUAACCGGCAUUUUCAGCUAUUGUAAAUGCAGGAGCCUACACAAGAUUCACAACAUCAUGUCAGGUUUUACAGUUUGGGACAUGGACGGAUAUCUUUCAUCAAGAGGAAGUUAGAGAUUAUAAACCUUGAGAGCAUUCUGAACAAUUUGAACACCUCUUCUUUGAUCCUCGUUUUGAGUUUGAAGGUUGUCUAAAGCCUUUGUCGCAUAUAAUAGAGCCACACCACCACCUAUUUGAAAUUUCCAUAGUUAAAAAAACAAUAUAAUGAAAUAAUCAGAGAAAGUAGAGAUAACAAACAAAUAAUAUUUACUUACCCGGUAUGAUGCCUUCUUCUACAGCUGCUCUUGUAGCGUUUAAAGCAUCAGUGACUCUGUCUUUUCUCUCUCCAACUUCAGAUUCACUUGCCCCUCCCACCUAUAUAGGAACCAGACACAUAUCAGCUACUUUCGGCAUGCAAGAGUUUAGAAAGAUCGAUUGAUGGGUGAUUGACUAACCUUGAAGACUGCAACACCACCAGAUAGUUUUGAGAGUCUUUCUUGCGUUUUCUCUUUAUCAAAAGUGGAGGUACUCUUUUCAUUGGCUGAUCUUAACUGUAGAGCAUGAGAGUAAAAAAGGAUUGCUUCUACUGUAUAAAGUGUAUUCUAGUGAGCAAGGUUCAUGAUAGAGAUAUUGUAAGAAAAUAAUCAUAUACCUCUUCACAUCUUUCUUCGAUUAGCUUUUUAUCACCACCACCAUGUAGGAUAAUAGUGUCAUCACGGGUGAUGGUAACCUAGUUCAAAUAAUUUGUGUUACAUUUGAAUCACACAAAAGCAAAAACAGAAACCAGAUAUGACUUCUCCUAUUACCUUCUUCGCAGUUCCAAGCAAUUCAGGGCGAAUUUUUUCUAGAGAUAGCCCACGCUCCUCAGAGAUAACCUGUGCAUAAACUACUGAGUUAGAAAAUAAAAACGUGACACAAACAUAAAUAUAGGUUGUUUCUGAGAAAUUUCUACCUCUGCACCAGUAAGAACCGCAAGAUCAUCCAAGCUUGCUUUCCUGUUGUCACCGAACCCCGGAGCCUUGAUAGCGCAUACCUUAAACCCAGCAUGAUGCUUAUUAAGAAUUAGCAUAGCUAAUGCAUCACUCUCAACAUCUUCUGCUACAAUAAGAAGUGGUCUGCUACUCUGCACAACCACAAAUAAUAAGAGAAAGAAGUGAGUGGAGUUUGUAUAGCAAACUAUAGAAACCGCCAAACCGGACUUCAGAACAUAGUAUAUAGAUAAUCAAGGGAAGGCAUUACUUGCACAGCUGCUUCUAAAACUUUCAACAAAGAGUUAAUGUCUGAAAUCUUCUUCUCAUGAAUGAGGAUGAUGGGAUUUUCAAGCUCCUGAAAAACAAGCAUAGUUAGUUCAAUACCCUUUCUUUCCUUUUCACACAAUACUAAACACGAUAGAUUUCACUCACGCAUUUCUGGGUCUUCUCAUCCGUGAUAAAAUAAGGAGAAAUGUAACCUCUGGCUAGCUUCAUUCCUUCCACUACUUCCAGCUCGUUAUCUAAAGUGUUACCAUCCUGGGUAUUUGAAGAAUAAUACUGCGAUCAGACAAUCAUCAAGUGAUUUAUUACAAGGCAUGCGAAGAAAAGUAAGCUUACAGCAACAGUGAUAACCCCUUCCUUUCCAACUUUCUCCAUGGCUCUUGCAAUUAAUUCCCCUAUCUCACGCUCCCCAUUUGCAGAUAUAGUGGCAACCUAUCAAAGGAAUACAUAUAUGCAAUAGCAGUAGUAGAUCAACCUUUGGAACAGCAUUCACAAUUCCUGACUUGAUGAAUAUGUUUCUAAGUUCACCUGUGUGAUCUCUUCUGGGGUGCUAAUCAUAACAGCUCUGCUUUUCAAAUCAGAGACAACUGCAGAAAUUGCCAUAUUUAUGCCAACACGCAAAUCCAUCACGUUUACACCAGCAGCCACUGACUUGCAGCCUUCGAUGAGUAUCGCCUGAGUCAAAACAGUAGCACAAGUGGUACCUAUAUAACGAAAGGAAGGCAAGCAGAAAUUAAGACUUGUUAUUAUCCCUGCAGCUUAUGUUUUCACUAAAAACUAAAUUCAAGAUUUUUAACUCAAAAGAGAAAAUAUUACCAUCUCCAGCGACCUUGUUAGUGGCACUUGCAACCUGUUUCACGAGUUCCGCACCAAUGUUCUUAGCUUUUGCUUGAAAUGAUAUGCUUUUUGCAACGGUGACACCAUCCUUUGUGAUCUUUGGUCCGCCGUAACUACUCUCAAUUAUCACAUUUCUUCCCUAACACCACAGAAUUAAAAUAAAGAUAUUGAAUUUGAAUGACUCUUUUCCAGAACAAUCCAAUCUACAUUGAUCUAAACCUUGUGAGAACAAAAUAUAUAUACCUUUGGCCCCAUUGUGACUUUCACAGCUUCUGCAACCUCGGAUACACCUUGCAACAUAGCUGCCCGAGCUCCGACCCCGAAACUGAUAUCCUUGGCCGCAUAGUUUCUGCUACUUAUAAUCCGCCCAGAAACCUUCACGGUAAAAGAGAGAACACCAAAAGAAAACCACAAUUGGAAUUAAAUAGUUUGAUACAGGGCACGGCCAAUACAAGCUAAUCAGUCAGGGUACAGCACUUGGAACCGAUUAAAACCAGAGCAAUUCUGAAAAUGAAGUAGCUCAAGAUGGAGAUUUUGAUGUAAACCCUAUUUAUUUUUCACUGCAUCAUUGAUGCAACUAUCUGGACUUGUAAUUUGACACAUUUCUAGCACUUUCUCGGUUACCAACAAACGAAAUGCAAUCAAACUCGCAAAAAAGACACAGAGAGUUCACGAAACUCACCAGUUUCCUGGAAGUAGACGAGCUGCAAAACAAUCAAACCCAGAAAGAGGAAGAAGAAAAUUAAGCUCUGCCCAUCAAUACAAAUUGAUCGAGAAAAUUACAAGUUUUGAAUAAACUCACUGAAUGAAAGAACGAAACGUACCCAAUUGAAGAAGAUAACUUUGAUAGAACUCGAUACAUUUCCGCUUGCAAAGAACUAGAGAAGGAGAGGCUUCAAGGGUUUAGGGUUUUUCUGGGGUUUUUUUACUUUGGUGGUGGUGAUCAAGGAAAUUAGUUUUCGUCCAACGACGAGUGAAACUUUUUUUCUUGUAGAAAAGCUUAAAGUCUGGAACUUUCCGUUUACUUUGCUCUGUUUCUGCAACUCCACAAUUAGGUUUACAGUUUCAUCCAUUAUCUUAGGCCCAUUUUUGUUUUCCAAUGGCCCAAAUUCUAGGCCUACAUGAAUUACACUAUGAACUUUCAUUUACCAUAGCAAUGAGAACCUGAAAUUCUCUUCAAUCAACAAACCAAAUCAAAAACCGGUUUCUCCUCGAGUAACAUUCUUUCAUCAGAUACAAUAAACCACAUCACUACAGAACUCGUAAACAAAUAAAUCUUGAGUUUUUUUUGUUUGUCUGCAUCAGAAUCUUAGUCUAGGAACAUACAAGAUCACUUUGGCACCUGCAAGAGGAACCAUCGCCAUCGGAGACAUAAAACAUAUGGCUCUCGGUGAAUCUCUCUGAUCAACACCAAAAAUGAGAGCUACCUUUUUUAAAGGGUAACGAAUUUUAAGUAUCUAGCUUCGUGUGCUCGCACAACAGCUUAAGCUUGUAUAGUUCUUCCUUCUAUGCACUUGUAUCAAUGGGUACGUUUUUUGCUGGAGGUGAACCAGAGCUACUGCUGCUGCUGCUGCUUUCUCCAUUGGUUGUAACCUCGGAUUGAGCUGUAGAGUUCAUUGAUUGGUUGCUAUUUGUGGGUGGUGCUUGUCCUUCUUCCGCGAGCUUUUUGAGGAGGUUCAUGACCGUUGGAAUGAAUUUGGUUGACAAGGAGAGAAGUCCAGGUAGCUGUUGUCGAUCACAGAUGUAACAUUGGCAUUUCAGAGAGAUUAUAAUUGAGAACAAAUGAAGUACAGGAGCAAAAGUAAAAGUAAGGAUGUUGGAUUUCGUGCUCAUACCGCGCCAUUGCGGAAUUCUCCUGAAAUAUUUAAUUGCACCCACAAGGCUUUGGAAAUAAGGUAUCCGACAAAAAGAACUAAGAGCCAUAGAGGAUUUCUGCCACGAGAGAUGCAGGCAAGAAGAGCCAAAAUGAGUAAGGAAUCUUGAUUAUAUUAAAAAGCUGAGUCAAUUCAAAAGGAUGGACAAGGGUACCUUAAGAGAGUCAUAAAUUCAUUGAAUCCAAGAACAACCAGGGCAAGGAUUGCCCAUGGAGGUGGCAGCCAGUUGUUAUUCCGUCGGUUAGCUUCCUGAAAUUCAAUGUGACUUUAUUCAGAUUGAAACCUCAAAAAUUUUGCCGGCUGUUAGAUUAUGAACCACCAAAAUGAAAAAAGGAGACAAGAAGCUAGAAACGACUGACCAAAAAAAUAAUUCAAAAUCUUUUUGUAGCAUUGUCAAAUUUUAACAUCAGCUCAUGUGAAUCAGCAAACCGAAGAUAUGCUUGAAAGUAGGGAUUGCAAUGACUACCUGUGCAGAAAUGGCCUGUGUAACGGUAUAUUCUGUCUCAUUCUUGAAUUGCCUCCACAGUGAUUUACACUGCACAGGCGUGAUCAACGUCUUUUCUGGUGCAACCUGAUAAUAACAAGGUAACAUUAAGGAUCCUUUAUAUCUCAAAGGUGUCAGUAAUAAAUAUGAGACCUUUUGUAUUUUUAUUAUAUACAGUGAGUAAGGUUUAGUCACCUGCUCCCAAGUGCUUGAGGCAAGUGAAUCAAUUGUGCUGAUGCUCUUGCUAGUAGCAUUGUUGCCCGUAGAAUUAAACAGAGAGAGCGUCAAUGUUUUCUCAAUAUUGUCGAGUUCAUCAUCCAAGCGUAUAAUAGCCAUAACAGACAGCAGCUUCAAGGACUGAAAAAGAGAACAAGGGUAAUAUAAAAAUCUGAAGAAAUUUGUGAUCGAUUCAAAGAAUAGGUGCUGAGAUUUGCUAUAUCAGGUAGGUCUCAUACUGCAGAACGAGCCAUUUUUGUGAUUGCUCUGAUGUCCUCCUUUCCAGUCCAAACACGUGGCAUUGAAUCAGAAUCAUGGCUGAAGAUUGUAGCAAAUCUGGAUAGAAGUUUGUUUAAUCAGAAAGCUAUGUAAGAGAUGGAAGUUAUCGGACAAGGACAUGAUGAAAGACUAGUAAAAUGGUGACACCUAUCCUUCAUGCGCAUCAACGCUCUUCCAGCCUCUUCUUUUGCCUUGGUUUCAACAAUACCUCGUGCAUAGUUUUCGAGAUCAGCAAGCAUUUUACUCCGUGUUUCUUUGUCCAUUUCGAAACCAGAUAAUGCGUCAGAGAGACCAUAGACAGCCAAUUCUCCUUCCCGUCUAAGUAGCUUUCUAAUUGCUGGCCAUGUUUCAUCAUUAGCCCCAUCCAGAAGAGCUUCCACCGGUCCGGAUAAUGCUACAUUUAGUUUUGACUGCAAUGAACAUUAUCUAUUAGGAAGGUCCAGAUAUGAGUUUACACCUGUUUGAUGCUAGAUAAUUCAGACCAAUAUGUAUGGCUUUCAGCUGCUUGAGAAUUCUAUUUACCUCAUACAGAGUAGUCAGUUCAGCCAACUUUGCAGUACGGACAGAAGAGAUAUGGGCUUCAAUAUCACGCUCAAGCUUUUCCCGAGUUUUAGAUGUAUCCCAAUUUGCUUGUUCAAUAACAGCCUCUGCAACAAAACAUGAUUCCCAUUGACAUCGGAUAUCUUUUAAUGCUUCUUUCAUGUUAUAAUCUUCAGGUUCAAACAUGCUAUCCUAUAUCACAAUAUUUUCAGCAGUAACAUCAACAGUACGUGAUACCUUCACAUCCUUUAUCAAACUUAGAUAUGCAUGACUGAGCGCAGGAUUUCGCAGAUGAUGAAAACCCUUCUCCAGCAUUCAAGGCCUUCUCAAAAGCAUUCUUGAAGUUUUCAAGUGCUCCAGAUCUCAAAUGUCCAAGCACGUCUUGGAAAGUUGGUUGAACAAGCUGGAUAGACAAUAAGAAAAUGAGUGCCUAAUACUAGGUAUCUGCUUUUUUUUUUACAACGAUGGAAGUCUCUGAAUGUUUUCCAGGCAACGCAUAAUUGCAACAAAAACACAAGUAUAACAGUCACAAGUUAAGAGUAUAUGCAUUACUUGCAAUAACUUUUCUUGCAGCUGUUGUCUCUUGGAUGAUCUUACACUUUCUUCAAAGUAGGUCGCUUCUGUGUCAUACCUAUUGUAAUCACAGAAACACGUGAAAAAAAACUCCUAUCCCUCCUAGAAUCAAUAUAAGCAUAAAAACCUGUAGUUCAAUAAAGUCAGCACACAGGCAAAUCCUGUGCAAAACAAUUAUUCUUACUCUGAUAAGCUAGAUUGGAGAAUGGAGCUCAGCUUUCUUCCGAAUCCGGAAACAGGACCAGACUGUACAGCCUCUUCCAACUCGCGCCAAUUCUAUACAAUAGUUUAGACAUGAAUAUUGACGAAAGGGCCAUUGAAAAGGCUAAAACAUGAAGCAGUAUUAAGGAAACUCACCUCAUUCGCGAUAAAACUAGAGAAUUUUUCAUUGGCAAUUUCCUCGCAUCGCACAGUUGCUACCAUGACCUGCGUAUAGGGAUCACAUAAAUAACAAGACCAGAAGGAACAAUGGUGUACAGGUGACGGGAGAGAGCCUUAAGCAAGUAAAAUUACCUUGUGUGCUGGAAGAUCCAAGUCUUUGUUGUCUUUAAUGACUUGCCACAUCUGUUUUGCACUAAAAGCAAAAGCAUUGGCAGGGACAACUCCUCGUCGAUCACCAGCAAGCCCGCCAGGUGCGACAGAUUGGAAGAACCGUUGUCUCAAAUUGUAGACCUUUCAUUUACAGAAAAAUUGUAGGAAAAACAUUAAUAUUACCUACAAGGCAUCUGUUGAGCAAUAAAUCACAUAAGGUGACCCUGGAUUUUCUCCAAAAUGUAAAGCUAAUUGUAAAAGAACCUGCUCUUUGAAUUGCUCUUCCUUUUCUUCAUAACUCGAGAGAGCAACUACUUCAACCUGUCACACAAGAAACAACUUCAUUUCUUGAUCCUAGCAAAAGAAGAAUAAUACUAAGUUUUGUCCAAAUCAAGCAGUCGUACAUUGAAGAAAUCACUAAGUGGAGUUUCUUUGUGUGCCUGAGGCUUGGGGACUGAAUCCCAUAUCUGCAAUUAAGGACAAACAAUAAGGGAUUGCUCUAUUAGUCAAAGUGCAUAAAAGCUAAGACUGUCUUCUACCUUUUGAAUGUCUUCCCUCAGCACUGGUUCUAAAUUUUCCAGUGGCGUCUGCAAUUACCCAGGAAUUAGGAACAACCACAACUAAUAAACCAGAAAAACAGAAUGAUAAAGAACAGAAAACUCAAAAUUCAUACCCGUGUCUUAUCUCUUAUAACAAACAUCAAAGUUGUCUUCCGCGGACUAAACAACCGCAUCAUAACCUGAUUGCAUGUAGAAAAGCAAAUAGUGUUGAGACUUCGGAACAGAGAUAACUCCUCCUGAUAAGAAGAUACCGGCAGAUACCUGGAACACAGUCUUUAAAAGAGGUUUAUUUGCUGCUUGUUCCCGACCAAUGUCAUGACACCACCUGCAUUACAAAUCCGAGAAAUAGUACGAUAUAAGAUAAAGAGGGCAAAAGAUGACUUAUUAUCUACUAAUACCAAAGAAAAUAAAGUACAGAACACCACUUACAUGUUUAUAAGAACUAUGUCUGAGACAGCAAGUGCAAAAAGAGCACUCUGUUUCUCGAAAGCAGUAUCAUCCUGACAUCCAUAUACAAGAUAACUAUGUAAGUGAGCUAUUCUGCACUGACACAUUCUUUUUUAGACAGAAAUUUCUUUGUAUGAGCUCCUUAAGAUUUAUAUAGUGCAUGAAAUCAAGUUGUGACUCUAAUCAGCACAAUUCAAAUUUCAUCAAAGUCAUUCACAAUUAGUGCAAAAGCUAAAUAAGACAUACUAACUGGGCGUGAGAUGCUAAAUAUUAAAAGAACUGAAUAUGAAAAGGGCCGAGGUUGCACACCUCACCGCGCUCUCUCCCAUCGGUACCCUCUAAAUCCAUCACAACGGUGCAAGGCUCAAUACCAGCACAUCUAGCAAUCCAAAUUCCCUUAGUCGUCUGAGACCUGAAAACAAGGAAUUUCGGCGGGUAAAAAUCAUGAAUUAGAAGCUAAAUUUUUUUCUGAUGAAGUAUACAAAGAGUAGAACAUGCCUUCCUCUAAAUGCAUCCAUUUCUCUAAAGUUGGUUCCAAACAAAUGAUUCAAGAGCGUGCUCUUCCCUGCAAAUUCAACCAGAAUGACAUAAAAUCAGCCCAUAUACAAACGAAUAGAUUCCAAAGAAGCCAAUUUUUACAUUCAAGGAUUUGAUACAUACCACUACUUUGUGGACCCAUAAUCGAGACAACCGCGUAUGAAAGACCACAUUCUUCCAAUUUAACCUCCUUGAUGAAAUGAUCAACCCCAGCAACAUUAAAGACACCAUCUCCAUCGAUAAGCUGGGUAGAGCAAGCGGCAUCUGCAACGUUCAAGCAAUAAGAAGGAAAUAAAAUUAGCACUAUGUACAAGUAAUACUGAAAUAUUCAGCAAGUUCUUCUCGAAUGUCAAAACUGGAUCUGAAAUUCAGCCUUGCUAUUCAAUAACUACUUCAAAAUCUAGGCUUUAAAUCUUGCCCACUACUCCCAUGAGUGUCUCCUUUAAACCCAAAAUCCUUAGUUCUGAUGAACAAUUUUGGAUUCUCGAUUGAUUCCUCGCAUUAUCGAAUCACUCAACUAACUGUUAAUCCACUAGAAACCUAGCAAUAAUUUCAGAGUUUUCAUCAAAACCCCAAAUUUCAACAACAAUUAAGCAAAUGGAACCUCGAAAUCAUCUUUCAACACUCACCUGCUACCAAAAAGAAUCAAUCACCUACCAUCUAAUGAGCAAAAGAGACUAUCAAAAAUUCACAUCAGAUUAGAUCACAAUCCAAAUCACAUAACUUACAAAGAAACUGAAAUCGAAAACGAAUAACGCUUGGUCAAAACGAAAACUGAUCAGAUCAAAGAGAGAACAAAAAAAACGGAUCCACGAGAUCAGGAACAUUUAUGAGCUGAGAAGAGAUGUGUAUAUAAAUUACCCAUUAUCGCUCAACGAAACGCAGAUAGAGUGAUGAAUGAAGAAGAGAAUGGUAGAGAGAUCUCUAGGCUCGAGCUCGCUAUUGAUGCACCGGUGCCUUGACGACUGCUUCUCGUAAGGUCAUAAGUGCUUCUUCUUAUUUGACAAAAGAAAUAUGCCAAAAAGUGAUUUUUAAUUUUCCAACGAAUUUCUACUUUUUUUUAUUUAUCAUUUUUACCCAACAUAUAUACGACUUUAGGGAUUAAUUAUUAAUAGCUCUUUUUAACAAUAAUAUUUUUUACCUAAAAUUCACACUCUUACUAAUAGAAAUAUUGACCAAAAUAUGAAUUAGUAAAUUAAUUCAAUGAUUUAAAGUAAAAGAAAAAAAAACUAAUUUGGGGAAAAAAAAUAAUUUUCAGGUAAUAAUUCAGUAAUACUGAUAGUAUAUUUUUUUAACGAGAGAAAUUAUGAUAUACUCAUUGCAUUGGUAGACGGUAAAGUCAUGAUGGGUCCCACGUGGCAAUUUUUUCAUGGAGGGCAAUUGGCUGGACAAUAAGAUAGUGGGCCCCACAGAAAAGCCCAAAUUUUAGUUGGGAUCCACCUCGCCGCCUCUUCACCUUUACUAAAGUUUGGACGGUGUGAUCGGCUCCGGUUUAACAACACGUGGACUUCCCACCGUCCGAUUCAAUUUCCGUUGACCACAAGAUCUUUGGUGUCAAAAUCUGUAAAUUUACUUAUAUGAGCUUUGAUUUAAUUACAUGAAAUGCAUGUUACAAUAUCAAGAUUUUGGAAAAAUACGAUAUGAAGGUUUCAACGUCAAAUUAAGAUGUGAUAUACUGAAAAAUACUAAACAAGUUUACGCGAAGCCCAAAACAAUUAACUUAAGUCUAUAUAGAGGCCCAGUUGGGAAAAAAGAACAGAGGAAAUCGUCGUUGUGUUGCAGACAAAAGCCGUUAGUUUCGUUAUGUGAUGGGAGAUCAUGUUGUUACAGUUCCGAGCAAAGAAGACUUCGUUCAACAACAUUGCUCAAGAGUCUCUUGUUAUUCUUAUCACCAAACAAGUUGGAUUGGGUUACAGGUUUUUGUCUUCGUUAUGCCAACCAAAGAACACGGCUUUAGAUUCCGAAGCUUACAAGAAACUUUUUCAGACAGCUGCGAAAUCAGGCUCCCUGGUACUGGGAAAGCUCGCCCAUGGACACAUGGUGAAGUCUUCCUUGAACCCGUGUCUGUACUUGCUCAACAAUCUUCUGAAUAUGUAUUGCAAGUGCCGGGAAUUGGGUUUUGCACGCCAGUUGUUCGACAGAAUGCCUGAACGGAACAUUAUUUCUUUUAAUUCUUUGAUUUCUGGGUACACUCAGGUGGGGUUUUAUGAGCAGGCCAUGGAAUUGUUUCUUGAAGCUAGGGAUGAUAAUUUGAAGCUUGAUAAGUUCACGUAUGCCGGUGCAUUAGGCUUUUGUGGGGAAAGGUGUGAUCUUGAUUUUGGCAAAUUGUUGCACGGGUUGGUUGUUGUUAAUGGUCUGUCUCAGCAAGUGUUUUUGAUUAAUGUGUUGAUCGACAUGUAUAGUAAGUGUGGAAAGCUUGACCAAGCUAUGUCUUUAUUUGAUAGAUGCAAUGAAAGGGAUCAAGUUUCAUGGAAUUCUUUGAUUUCUGGUUAUGUUCGGGUUGGUGCAGCGGAAGAACCGCUUAAUCUGUUGGCUAAAAUGCAUAGAGCCGGCUUAAAGUUGACUACUUAUGCUCUGGGGAGUGUGCUAAAGGCUUGUUGCAUAAACCUGAACGAAGGAUUGAUGGAAAAAGGUAUGGCAAUUCACUGUUACGCAGCAAAACUAGGAAUGGAAUUUGAUAUAGUUGUCCGUACUGCGUUGCUUGACAUGUAUGCCAAAAACGGAAGUUUGAAGGAGGCGAUAAAGCUUUUCAGUUUGAUGCCUGCCAAGAAUGUGGUUACGUAUAACGCGAUGAUUUCUGGGUUUCUCCAAAUGGAUGAUAUAACCGAUGAAGCUUCGAGUGAAGCCUUUAAGCUCUUCAUGGAAAUGCAAAGACGGGGUUUGGAACCCUCGCCAUCGACAUUUUCAGUUGUGCUCAAAGCUUGUAGUGCGGCGAAAACCUUAGAAUAUGGAAGGCAGAUUCACGCUCUCAUCUGUAAGAACAAUUUCCAGUCUGAUGAGUUUAUUGGAAGUGCUCUAAUCGAGCUGUAUGCAUUAAUGGGUUCAACUGAAGAUGGAAUGCAAUGCUUUGCUUCAACAUCAAAACAAGAUAUCGCCUCAUGGACAUCGAUAAUUGAUUGUCAUGUCCAAAACGAGCAGCUUGAAAGCGCAUUUGACCUGUUCCGACAACUUUUUUCAUCCCCUAUAAGACCGGAAGAGUAUACAGUUUCCCUUAUGAUGAGUGCUUGUGCAGAUUUUGCUGCGUUAAGCUCAGGAGAGCAGAUUCAGGGUUAUGCCAUAAAGAGUGGAAUUGAUGCUUACACCAGUGUUAAGACCUCCAGCAUUUCUAUGUACGCAAAGUCAGGUAACAUGCCUCUUGCUAAUAAAGUAUUUAUCGAGGUCCAAAACCCAGACGUUGCAACAUACUCAGCUAUGAUCUCAAGCCUUGCGCAACACGGUUCUGCUCACGAUGCCUUAAACAUCUUUGAGUCGAUGAAAACCCGCGGAAUUAAACCGAACCAGCAAGCAUUUCUCGGCGUUCUAAUAGCUUGUUGCCACGGAGGAUUAGUCACACACGGAGUAAACUAUUUCCAAACCAUGAAGAACAGUUACGGGAUUAACCCGAACGAGAAACAUUUCACUUGCCUCGCCGAUCUCUUAGGUCGCACCGGAAGAUUAUCAGAUGCCGAGAACCUGAUUUUGAGCUCUGGUUUUCAAGACCAUCCAGUGAUGUGGAGAGCAUUAUUGAGUUCUUGCAGGGUAUACAAAGACAGCGUAAUUGGUAAACGCGUUGCAGAGAGAUUGAUGGAACUCGAACCUGAGGCCUCUGGCUCGUACGUAUUGCUCCACAACAUUUACAAUGAUUCUGGAGUCAAUUCUUCAGCUGAGGAGGUUAGAGAGCUGAUGAGAGAUCGAGGGGUUAAGAAAGAACCAGCCUUGAGCUGGAUCGUGCUCGGUAACCAAACUCAUUCCUUCGCAGUGGCUGACUGGUCUCACCCUUCGAGCCAGAUGAUCUACACGAUGUUAGACACCAUGAACACUGUAGUAGAUUUUGUAGACCACACUCUUGUUCAUUCUCGUUCUGUUUACAUGAAAAUUUAAAGCCAAUUUUUGUCUUGCUAAGAUCUUGUUAAAUUACGAAAUGCCACUGUGUUUAUAAAAAUUGGGCCUGUGGCCCAAAGCCCAUGUUUACUCGUCUCUCUCGUACAUUUUCGAAGAGACAACAGUGGAAGCUAUCGCAAUCUCGGAGAAGGGAGAAAAAAUGGCGGCCAAAACCCUAAUCAGGUCAGGAGCUUCAUUGAUGAAUCGGUUUCUAUCGAAGCCGACGACGAAUCUUGUGCAGAACAAUCUCAGAUCUUCGUUUCAACAGAUAGCUCCUCAGGGACAAGAAAUCCCUCCGUAUUUUUUCCCGUCGUUGUCGAAUCUACAGAGCUCACUCAUUUCGCGCCCUAACGACACUGCUUCGCUCCAGGAACUCAACGAACGUGGGUUUCUUUACCCUUCUGGUCUUCCUUCACUCGAAUUCUUCUUACCAGAAGGUACUUUCACUCUCUGACCCCAUUUUGAGUGUAUCUGUCAGUAGCUAGAUUUGUAACUUGUUCCUACUCUCACGGAGCUUGAUUUUUUUGGCCUAUGAAUAUGAUUUAUAGGGUAUGCAGUCACUAGAUGCUCGAGUAUUAAUCAAAUGUUAAGAAGUGUUCUGUUUUUUUUUUGGUGGAUUGUGUGUCAAUGGUUGAUGAAAUCAGAAACUUUUCUUGCUUGCUCAUGUGCUUACACAGUAGAAACAAUGUUUAGGUCGUUUUAUUGAGUCCUGUUACUGGUCAUUUUGCUGCUAGUGGAGAUACUGAGUUAUGGGGUGGUGGUUCUGGUUCUUGAAUGGGGAUCAUAGUGAAUUAUAAAGUGCUUGUAGCAUAUUGGGAAGCAAAGAUAUUUAACUUAUGUCUGAACUUGUAGGAGAUUCAAGAAUCUGGCUGUGUUGUGCUGAGUUUCAUAUAGUUCAAGAGUGUUAUGUAUGUGUCCUAAAGGAGAGUCCAGCCUUCUGUUAUUGUUCAUUGGGCUUAGGGCUUUAGUCUCUCUGCAAAGUUGUAAACUUUGCUGCUCUAUGGUUCUCAUGUCUUUGUAUUUGGUAAUGUAGUUGAUCCUUCAAGUGAGCCAUUGCUUCUGUUUCCUAAGAGGACAUUCCAACCAAGCACUAUUAGGCGUAAACGAAACCAUGGAUUCUUUGCUCGGUAUGCCUUUUCGUGUUAAACUUCCUUAUUUUAGACCAAGAAUAGAGUCUCAAAAUCUAGUUAAUCAACCAAACGAUUGAAAUUCUUAAAGUACUUCAAAUCAUUACUCAUUCUCAUUCACAGUAGAGAAUUGAAAGUAAGAACAAGAAUCUACAUCUGUACAUAGUGUUUGAGUGACCAAAACUGUUUACUCAGUGAAUGUCUGAAUAUGAACAGGAAGGCAACCAAAGGUGGACGGAGAGUUAUAGCUCGGAGAAUAGCAAAAGGGCGUCACAGAGUCACUGCCUAGAAUCUCUCUAAUCUUUCUAUUGAUGAAUCUCCUUUUAUCAGAAACGAUUCAGGCUCUCCUUCAGGCUAGAAAACGAAACUUGCAUCUCAUAAAUAAGUCGGAUGUCUUCUUACUUUUUUGAUGUGUUAUUGAACUCAGAAUCGAACUGAAGUUAAAAUUUUAAAGAUCUCAGCUCCUUUGUAAUGGAUAGUUUAUAUCAAGGAAUCCUUUUUUUCUCCAUGAUGUUAACAAAUUAUCGUUGUUAUAAUAACGACGCAAGACUUAGAGGAUACAAAAUUGUGUUUUUUUUUGUCUAAACGUUUAAAAAUGAUCAAAAGAGAAUCUCACAGUUGACUAAAAAAAUUGUACAUUGAACUUGCAUUGAAUUAUGAUGACAGUCCACAUAUUUUGACCCCACGAAAUAUCAUAGAGAGAGAGAUAAGCAAUAAGCGACAAAGAAAAAACAAAGAUGAAGACAAUAAUUUCCAAUACAGAGGCAAAACAAACUGACCAUAUACAAACACAUGUGUACGUAGAUGACGAGAGAUAGAGAUCGUACUUCCUUCACAUAUACGUAUACGUCCUUACAUACAUAUGUACAUGUGUGUUUGUAUGUGUUCAUUAAAAUGUGUAUAAGGACCAACUUUAUAUUAUAUGUAGUAACCUUUUCCCACAACGCACACGACUCUAACCUGAAUUAAAAAGAACUUAGCAACAUUUAUGUUUUCCCUCAUUAUUCAAAUUCAAUGCAAUAUAUAUGAAAAGUAAUUCAUGUAACAUAUCACAAAUCCUUACACUAUAUGGAAAAGACUUAUCAACACAUGUGGGUGAUUAUUUAUGUUCCCUCUUUCCUUCUUAUAUAUAGAUAUCAAACGUAUAUAGGUAUUUAUUACGUACCCAUGUCAAGGAAUCCCAUGUAGAUGGUUUAGGACUAGGGUUUGCUUAAGUUAUGACGUACUGUCCACAAGAGAUUGGCGAUGAUGAGGAUGAUGAUGGUAUGAUCAUGUGAUUGAUGUAUGAGUCCACUCUAUGAUGAUGAUGAUCACUCGUAGAAGUCAUUUGAAAGUUGUACGUGGUGGGAAGAAGAAGGCCGUGAUCUUGUGAUAUUGGCGAGGAGGAAGAUAGUACUUUGCCUUCGAGAACUUCUCCACAUAAUAACUUUUUGGCAUUUUCGUUGUAUGGUGUCACAAACACGUUGAGUUUAUUAGCAUCGUCAUAAUCUUGAAGGGUUUCUUGGAAAGCAGAAAUGGUACUCGCUGGGAAAUCUGGUAAAGCUGGCCAUUGGGGAUCAUUAUCAUGAGGACAAGAAGAAAGUGAAAGUUGAUGAUGAUUGUUUAUAGAUGGUGUGGCUGACAAAAUGUCGAGGUUGUUGUAAUAGUUAUUAUCUUGAUGAUGAGAUUGGUUUGUGUUGUUUGUGGUUAGAAACUUGAAAUCUCCUUCUCUAGAGGUUGGGAAUAUCAAUGGGGCCAUAACAUGAGGAGAAGGAAGAGAGAGGUGGCUUGUAGUGAUGAAAUUAGGGUUAGUGUUUGUGAUGAUAUUGGACAUGAAUCUUGAACUUUCAUCGUCGACUGUAGUAGGGUGGAAUCCAUUGUGAUAAGGAAGGUUAACGUUGGUGAGCAAACUCGCCAUGGAAGAGAGAUGGUGAUGAAGGUGAUGACCGUGAUGAUGGUGAGACAUGAGCUUCUUUUUUAUGCUUGAAUUCCAGAAAUUCUUGACCUCGUUAUCUGUUCUUCCAGGUAGAUGUUUAGCAAUUUGUGCCCAUCUGUCAAAAAACAUAACAGAAAAGAUAAUAUGAUUAAAAAAGUAAGUCAAUUUCUUGAAGAAAUGUUAGUUUUCUAUUUCACAUGUAUAAAUGUUAAUUAUCUAACAAACCUGUUACCAAGAAUGCUGUGAAGCUCAAUGAUAAGAGCAGCUUCUUGAGGAGAGAAGCUUCCACGUUUAAGAUCAGGUCGUAGAUAAUUUAUCCAUCUUAAUCUACAACUCUUUCCACAUCUCUGCAAACCUAAUUAUACACAAGCGAAACCCCCCAAAGAGAUUAAAACCUAAAGACAAUGACUUAUUAUUAGUAGAUAAUUCAAGAAACAAAACCCAUAGAUAUAUGUGUAGAAAUGCCUGCAUGUUUGGGAACAGAGCUCCAACAUCCAUGGCCAUAUGAAUUGAUGUAGUUGAUGAGCUUUUCGUCUUCUUCGGGUGACCAAAGCCCUCUCUUCACCUUUUGCUUGUUGCAGCACGAGUGAUGACCCAUCCUCUCUCUCUCUUCUCUCUCCGUCUCUCUCUUGGAAUGUUUGUACGUUGCUGAAGUGUUAUAACUUAUAUUGUAUCGAGAAUUGGUGAGAUUAAAUGAUUAAUACACACAAUUAAAAUGAGAAACGGCUGCAGAAAUUUUCCAUUAGUUUAUUACAAAACAAAAGCAGUGUUGAAUUUUGACCAAAAAAAAUAAAAAAGCAGUGUUGAAGAAAGCGUUAGGCAUUAAGCGGACGGUGAUUUAGUUUCUAGUGCCUAAAACGCUUAAUCGGGACCUUGGCAAUUUUUUAGAUGGUUUAGACGUUUAUAACAUAAAACAUUAUAAAUAUGAUAUUAUAUAAAAUAUCUAUAUAAAACUAAAAAUUAUGAAAUUAUAAACAAAAAUUAGAUAAAAUAUUUAUAUCAAACAAUAUAUGAAUAUUUAUAAUUAUAUAUAUAAAUAAAACUCUAAUUGGAAUUGAAAAAUUAUAUUAAACAAGAUCUAUAUAAUUUUAGGCGGUCAAAACAGUUAUUUAAGCGUCGCAUGAAAGUCUAACGUCUAAUCAAGGCCUACGCGACCGUCUAGACCGCUUUUUAGAACACUGUACAAAAGUAAUAGAUAAUAAUAUGCUACCUAAUGAUGUGGACCAGUUUCUUCAAUUGUGAUUUUCUUUCCGAAACAACAUACUGUAUGUACAGUGUAAUUAAACUACAAUAAUUUGAAACGUAAAAUGAACAAAAAUUUGUGUGGGGGAACUGAUAAUAAGUGUAACAAGUUGCAAGAAAAAAAGAUCUAACAAAAAUAAGAAAAUUACUAAUUAAUUAUAGGUGGGUUUUUAGCACACUGAAGACGAGAGUGGCCCAGUGUAUUUUUUUAGGGCUUUGUGUUAUAAAAGGUUAAAAUGCUAAAAGCUGGAGUUUCUUCUCAGUGAGAGCCUGUGUGGCUUAUUACAGAAUCAUGGCCAUUGUCUUCUUCUACACAGACACGUGUUGCCCAUGCAGACACUGUGAGUCCUCCUCCUCAGUUAUAAAUUUGAGUUUUCUACUUGUCUUGGUUAAAUUUAAUUAAUGGAAGUAUCAAUGAAAGUUAUUUCAAUAUUAAGUCGAAAGAAGUUAUAUAAACAUUAAACGGAUCGGGGAUGUGCCUUUAGUCAAGUGGUUAAAUCCACUUGACUCCGCCUUUCCCACCGGAGUUCAACUCCACUAAGUCGCGUUACCCCGCGUAGUAGGGAUUGGCUAUGGAUCGGGCCUUGUCGAUCCAAAGAUGUCAAAAAAAAAAAAAAAAAAAAAAAACAUUAAACGGAUCACCACCGCAUAAAAUAAUAAUAUAUUAGGAUUGCCAACAAAGGAAGCAAAGUUUUAAUUUUGACAUAAAGGGCUCGAAUUCAACUUUACAUUAGAUUCUUAAUUUGACUUUAAGAGUUAAACUUUUUUUUUUUUUUGUAAACUUUAGGAGUUAAAGCUGAUGGUGUAAACUUCAGAGGUUAAAUUAAAGAGUUAAACUUUUUUUUUUUUUUUGCUUUUAGUCGGAUGUCCCCGAAGGGCAACUUGAAUAUGUUUCUUUUUAACUUUCAACACUAAAUCCUAAUAUGUAAGUUUGAGUGAUGUUAUAUUGUCAUUACAUACGCUUUAAAUUUAUUUGAUAGGUGUGGGUUCAUCGAUAUAAUAUAUUAAUGAUAGGGUUUGAUUACUAACUUAACCCUAAAUUUGCUGGCUUAUAAGUUUUUUAGAUUCUUUUACCUCCUUUGUCGGUGUCGGAAUCAAGAGUGAGGAAUAUAAAGGAUAAUAAAUUAUCUGUGCUUUUUAGUUGUAUAGUUAGAAAAUCGUCGGUAACAUUGUGAUUUCAGCAGAAGUGAUAUAUAUAUGAUGCGACCGUGUUAGAGCAAUUUGACCAGUUAUACGUAAUUGAGAUAGAUGCGCUUUGUCGUAUAGAAGUAGUUAAUGGUUUAGUUGGUUAUUAUGACUAUGAUUUGCACGUUAGAAAUGUUUUGAAGGGUAAAGCUGCUAUCAUACAUUAUUAACAUACAAAAAUAUGAUGGAUUCGUGGCUGGAAUUUGUUUGAGAACUUGAAUGUUUAUCGAUUAUUUCGUUGGUCAUCCUGAUAAAAUAAUAUUAAUUAUGUGUUACGUUUAGACCUGGCAACCGAAAAAUCAUGCCAACAAUGUUAUGAUCAUGAUAAGCGUAUAUAUUUCAUGUGUUGAUUUACUAAACAUACAUAUUUUCUUCGUAUUUAAUUGAUUAGCCAAUUUAUGAACAAAUAAUAUUUACUUCUCCGUAUAACUUUAUGGAUAAAUCUACCGAUAAAUGAAAUAUAGAAAUAGAACAUAUCUACUCUGUUUCAUAGAACAUACUUCUUAUGCUUAUACCAAUAACCUAACAAUAACCAGAUUGACAUUAAUAUUGUUCAGAAUAUACAAUUAUUUAAUAAAAAGUUCAAAUUAUUCUUAGGGAUAAAUUUAAUGCUUGUGACCGAAGCACUAGGCCCAAACAGAAGAUUCUUUUGAUUUUGCCUUCGAUGCCACAUGCAACUAAUAAAGAGCUUUCACACUUUUCUUUCUAUUUUUGAUGAGCCAUCAAAGGACACUAACUUUCUAUACAUUUUGGCUUUUUGCUUCGAGAACAACUAUCUUUUUUAUUUCUACAAAGUAAAACACAUUUUUUCAGAGCAUAUCCUCUCCAUAACUAUAUAUUCCUAACACAUACAAAAAGCAAAAUUUUCGAAUUUUCCCAUUUGAAAUUUGAAAAUUAUAUAUGUUGUUGAUUUGAUUUGUGUGGGUACGUACAUCUAUAUGUACGUAGUUUUUUUUUUCUCUCCAGAAAUUUUGUGUUCACUAACAAUAUUAUAUAUCUCUGUGACUCUACACACUUAUGUUAGAGAUUUUCGUAAGUUCGUUUUCAAUAAUAAAUUGUAUUUUAUAGAAAAGCGAACCUCAAAUAUGGUACAAAUUAAAACAUCAAACAUUUUGUCAAACUAUUGGAUCUAAGACUUCAAUUCAAAACAAGGUUUAGGAUAAUAUCUUUGAGUCUAUUUUUUUUUCGUUUCCAUGUAUACUAAUAUUAUGAAUCAGAAUCAUGUAGCUAGCAAAAAUCAUUCAUAUAUAUAAAUUAUAGAUAGCUGUGUGUGAACAAGAAAAGGCGAAAGAAAUGAGAGAAGGCCCCAAUUGGUUGUCUCCUUGAAGUAAAAAUCCCACGAAACAAAAGGCAAAAUUGGUUCUUUCAUUUUAAUUAGUGUCAUCAUCAAAUGUUUAAGUAGAGAAAUUCUUACCACAACUUGUUUGCAUUCGAGUUGAAUUUCACUACCGUAUUUGUGUUCUUAGUUGUUCCGUUUUUUUUAACAGAGCAACUUAUAAGAUUUUAUGAACUCACGUUGUGGGUUAGAGAGAAGCAGACUUGAAGAUAACGAAACACUAUAAAACUGCAAUAUAAGUCUUUUGAAGUGAAAUUUGGUUAUAUGCAGUUUAAAGAAGUCAAAGCUCAACGGACUCGAGAUUCUGUCGGAAGCUUCCCUUUUUUUCUUAAUUUGACAUAUAUCUUCUUGGUGGUUCUGAAACUGACCUCUUAACCAUUUUCUCUUGUCCCAUUUUCUUACCUCCAUUGAUAAACCCUUAACAUUAUCAAAGACUAAAUGUAUGUUUACCUCUGGUAAAAACUAGAUAGUUUUUAUAUGUUUUAAGAGAACUACGUCCUCAUAACGCAUCGAGUUACAACUUACAAUAUCACAAAUAUAUUAGUACAUGAUGAUGUGAUAUGUAAUUAGAUGUGGUGACCUAUGUACUAAUUUUUAGUAAUUAGAUUGAACGCCAAUGAACUAUUAUCAUUUGCAUGUAUUAGUGAAUCUGUUUAGUUUGAUUCAUGGGUAGGUCCAUUUUUCAUAUACAUUAUGGGAAAAUACAUUGUAUAAGAACAUGAAAGUUUGUUGGACAUAAUAUAAAAGCUUCCACACGGACAAGAAGGAAGCUCUCGUCACAUUUUCACCAUAAUUUGGUUCAACGUUCACUUUCAUAGUUCCUCUGGGGAUAGAGAUAGUAACUGCAUGAUUCUCUAUAGAAUAUAAAAUGGCCCUUAUAACAAUAUGAUUCAUUAAUUAUCUUAAGAUUUUUAUAAAACGAGCUCAGAAUAACUUGUGUGAAUUGAUUUCAAAUACAUAUGUGGGAAAAAGCUUUACCAUUGUAGAGAGAUUAAAUACUCAGCAGACCCUGUGAAAUUAAACUGUUGAGCCACUACACCAUUAAAAUUUUAAAAUUGUAAAUAUUUUGAGUAUAUUAACUUUUAAAACCCAUCGAAAAUUCAUGUCAUAAUAAAAAAAAUCGUUCUACGCAUAUCAUGAUCAAAUGUAUCGAUGACUGAAGUUACUCGGAUAAUUGAUAGUCCACAAGAAAUUAUGUUCUAUGAUCAGAUUCUAUACUAUAGUCCACGUACAUAUGAUAUUUCAUUGUUCACAUAUGCUUAAAGCCUUAAACAGAAGUGUAGAACAUAUGUUAAAAGAACAAUCCCAUUAAUUUCCUGGCUUUGACUAAUCAAAUCACAAUACAUUAACACAGCUAUUUCCAUGGUGCUACACAGUACACUUGACAAUUCAGAGCCAAUCAGAAUUUUUUUUACUUAUAUCACAUAAUUAAGAAUAGUCUUUAAUUUUAUAGUCUACAAAUAAUAUGAAGCCAGAGGCCGAGUCAAACGUGAAUAAUUUUUUUUUUGUCAAAGUCAAAUGUGAGUACUUUUAAUUUUUUAAACAACUCCUUUUUUUCAUUUUACUUCUUGGAAUAUAUUCAAAUCUGGAAGAUGCCUUUUAAAUUCAUCUUUACGUUGAAAAACAAAUUUGUAGAAAGUAGGAAAAAAAAGUAGGUGGAAUAUUUAAUUUACUUGAUGUAAAGAGAUUGCUAAAACUGUGAAAUCAUAAUUUGACUGAUACGAUUCCUUUUUGGAGUAAUAUUCACACUCCGUGUGAGCUUGGCGUUUACUAAAACUAGAAACUAAUUGAUCAGUCAAUUUUAUGAAAAUGUCUCGCACCAUAUUCUAAAAGUAGGAAUAUGAUGUGUCAAUUUCCAUUCAUUUAUUCCAGCUGACACCAUCAAGCCUCCUGUCUACGCUUAGUGCAUGAAAAUAACAGUCACUGAACACGUAUAUUUUAAUAAAUGUCACGAAGCAAAACCAUAACAUUACUUUUUUGUUAAUGAUGUAAAAUUAAAAUAUCAAAUUUGAUCAGCAUGAAAAUAGGUAAUUUGAUUGAUAUGAAAACUUGGACGGUCCAAAUUCAAUCAAGGGUAUGGUUUGUCCCCAUAGAUCAAAGUUGACAUUCUUCCAAAUUAAGUGUCAUGAUUCGAUACGGAAUGAAUCGGUAUCAAUACAAAAGAAAAAGAUCUCAAUGCAUAUAUAUAACAUUCAUAUAUUUUUUUGUUGCUAAAGUAUAUAUAUAUAUCAAUCAUAUAUACAUGUAAAUUGUAAAAAUAAAAUAAAAAUCAUGCCGUUUUACAUAUAAUGUGGAUAAAAAGGCUGACUUUUCAUAAAUGAGACCCUUCUACAAGUUUAUUUAUUUUAUUACUCUUAAAGGAAACGAAGCCAUUGAGCUGUGAUGGCUCUGCAGUCAAUGCACGAGAGAUAAUAAUUUAAUUUUAUUACUUGUAAUAAGCCUUGUUUUAAAAAUCGCUAGGCGCUAGUCGGACGUUCGGUAUAGACCUAGCGAUUAAUCGAAAAAUCGGAUUAAAAUCGGGGAUUAAUCGGAGAUUAGUUUUAGGGUUAUUUUAAUAUUUUUAAAAUAUAUUAAUUCAAUAUUUUUUUCAAAAUUACAGUAAAAACAAAUUUUUAUGAUUUUUAUUAAAAUUUGAACACAAGUUAUGUAAAACAUCACAAACUCCCAAUUCAAAUGAUUGAAUAACAAAAAUAAAAUGUUUUUUUAUACUUGCAAUCUAAAAAAUAAUCGGGGUAUGUAAGAUUAGGCGGGAAAUAAUCGGAUUAGACGGGAAAUAAUCGGAUUAGGCGGAGAAUAAUCAGGUUACUGAUUUUUUAGGGGAUUAGUCAUUAAUCGAUGCGGAGAGGGUGGGCCUAACGAUUAAGCGGGGAGUAAUCGGGGCUAGGCGGGGAUUUUUAGAACAAGGGUAAUAAGUAGUAUCAUUUUGUUUUUUCUUUCGUUAGUUUUUUUUUUUUUUUGACAAUAUUUUUCUUUCGUUACUUUUAAAAGUUACAAUUUAUAAAAAAGCAUUUUUAUGAUGAAUGGACCAUCUCGUACAUAGAUUCUUCUCCAGUAGACUGAUCUCUCUCUCUUUCUCUCGUGUUCUUAUCUGUUUUCUUCUAAUUUCUGAUUCGAAUAUUUACUUUCAUGUACUGAGACAUGUCAGAAAAGAUAUUCAAUUAAUGAGCUGUAAAAUCCCAAAAAAAUUCAAAUUUCUCAAAAAGAGAAACCAUGCUCAUAGGUUAAUCAGUUUGCUUUUUGAUCAAAAGAAAAGGCAAAACUUGAUAGAUUGGUAAGAAAAUUACUACUUCACUUGUCCCAUAAGCAACAACCUUCCUAUAUCUUGUAGGCAUUUAUAGGCUUUAAACCCCACAAGCUUCUUCUUUCUUCUUCUCCUCCUUCUUCUUCCUCUUCCUCUACUUCAAGCCUCUAUAUACAUCAUUGUAGCCCUCAUCAUCAUCACAUCAUCAUCAUGCGAGUGAGAGAAACAAGAAAGGGUUUUGUAUUUAUAUUAAUGGUGAUGAUACAUAUAGUGAGCUGGGUUGGUGCAACAAGCAGGCCUAUUGCUUCCAGUCACGUUUCUUUUCAUCCAGGUUUAAUUUCUUAUUUCUUCAGAGUCUAAUAUAUUAGACCAUUACUAUGUAUAUAUCUAUAUAUCGAAAGGCAGACAUGUAGAUUUGUAAGUAUGACCAAAAGACUUCUCUGUUUAGUUUCUGUUUGCAAAUAAGGUUAGGUUGAGUUCUUAAUUGUUUAUACUAAUUUUAUGAGCAAAUUAAUAACUUGUAAAUAGUGGCUAAACCGUGGUCCCAAAUAUUUGCAUGAUUUAACGGUAAAAAAGAAACAAAUUAUGGUUUUAGAAAUUACUGUUAUAGAUUAGUCAGUAAAAAGGUAGAUGAUAAAUGUCUAUGUACUCUUGGUUUAUCUACUUACAGCAAAAGAAGCAUAGGAAGUUGAAUAAGUUGAAUAUGUUCUUAUUUUAUUGUCCAAAUUCUGUUUUUUUUUUUUUUGCUAUUGGGCCUUCAGAGAUAACAAGCCCACAGGCUGCAGAACACAACUCUAAAAGGCCCAUGUUGGUUCCCAAUGAGAAUAAAGAGAUAAAAGAAGAAAUGGAGAAAAGAAGAAGAAUAGGAUCAAAGCCACCAAGUUGUGAUAAGAAAUGCUAUGGAUGUGAGCCAUGUGAAGCAAUUCAAGUCCCUACCAUUUCUUCAAUUCCUCAUCUAUCUCCUCAUUAUGCUAAUUAUCAGCCAGAGGGUUGGAGAUGCCAUUGUGCUCCUUAAUUAAUCAUUCUGAAUUUUGUAUUCCUUAACUAGACACAAUUAACAUAUUAUCUAUUCACAUGUAUCUCU
rnacentral:lncRNA from 1 species